AAGAGAAAUUUCAAGUCAAGUCUAGGAUGGUUUCUGUAACCCAAUUAAUUGAAGUCCAGGUUUAUUUCAAAUUUCCAACUUUUUUAAAUUAAUAAGCAAAAAUCUUACACCUUUUAUAUAAUAUCACAGGGAACAGUUUCUAGUCCUGGCAUAGCUUCAUAAUAAUUCAACAGUGGGAAUAAUAAUAAUAAUAAUUCUGUAAAGCUCCCCAACAACUAAAAGGCACCUACAAAUAACUGAAGGUGUGAAGAACACGGAUCCGAACAAGAUUUGAGCAGUGAUUAAUUACCUACAAGGCCAGUACUGUUCCCAUUGACAUAAAUGUUACUGCGACUCAAAUCUCCCUGAAAGAGGCCAGCAAUCAUGCAAAUGAAGAAAUUCCAACCACUCUCAAGCCUGCUCACUGCUCAGACCACAUCUUCAACGCUUUCAAAUUGAGAGAGCUAAGCAAUGAUGUGCUUGUUCUUGUCCAAUGUUCUCAGCAACUGAACCUCCGAUUGAUGAGUAGAAAACAAAAAUCUCAUCCUUAGCAUGGAAUACACAGAGUAUAUAUUUUAUUCUGGCUUGUUCUCUAUAAUCAAACAGAGAUUUAACUUGUAUUCCUGACUCUAGACGUAUCUGCGCUUAAAGCAAUGGAGUUUGAGCAUGUUCACUGUCCUCCUCUUUCAUGGGUUACCCGUGCUUGCCUCCAACGCCCUAUAACUGAAACAUCGAAUCUCGGGAUCACUUUCUAAAACCAUCCUGCUACUUUUUGCUUGUCCAGAAGGAGGACUCCAUCAUGGAGUGCCGAUGGUGGUCAAGACAUAAACUGUGAUUGACAACAUGUUAUCUCAACUGGACCUUAACCUGAGAAGCCCUUGGUCACCGGAAAAGCACAUUGCCUCUGGAUUCCACUAAAAUAAGUAUGGUCAUCACAAUAGUAACAUUUGGCCCAGAAGAUGAUAAGCAAGUCGCUUCCCAUGGUGACAUUCCAGAACUAAAAGGAAAGGAUUGCUCCAACCAGUCGACACAUUUCAACGAUGGCACACAAGCAGAGGGUCUAAGUAAAGAAGUUACUAGUUGUUCAUAAUAAUCUCUGCUUAACUAAUAAACUUCUAUAUAAUAAUUUCUUCGUAUUAUGAACAUCAAGCACUGCAGUCCAUUAACAGUGAAAUCAUUUUCUAUAUUUAUUAUCAUCUGCAGAAACCUGUUUGCUAACACUGUAAUGAGUGAAGCAUAAACAUGGCAGCAGCCUUGUAAUCUGAGCAUCAUAUUAAUAAUCCCACUGGAUUAUUGUUUGAAUUCAAGGGGUUAUAGAAUAUGAAGUAUUUUGUUUUGCAUUUCAGAAGCACCUUUCGUAUUGGCCAGACAAAAUGAAUUUAUUGACUUCUAUCAAGCAACCUACUAACUAGAACAAUAAGUUGAUCCAACAUGAGGAUCCAAUUAGAUGUCCUCAUGAAAUUUAAAUUGCACAUCAAAAUAUUCAAUGUUUUCUGCCAUCCUCGCACUUAUUCAGCAUAACCAAAACUGAGAAUUGACAAUGUCUGACCAGCUUACCAAACAGCGAACUUGACUCCUAGACAUCUUUCCUUCAAACCACACAUACAAAAAUAAAAUAUAAAAAUGGAACCCUUAAAUUAAGAGCAGUUAUUGAAUACUAAUUUCCCGCACGAGACGUUCAUAAUCUCUUCUUUUCAUUAAACCCAAGUUAUAUAGAAACAGAGGAAAAAAGAAAACAAAGGCCAUGGUACAUGGUUCCUUAAAAACAAAAGGCAUCAUUUAUAGCUAAUAAAUGCUGCCAUUAAACAAGUGCUUGGCAGAAUAUAACACUACUGAAAACAUUACAGUUUACCAAGGAGGAUUAGAAUUCUCCCUUAUAGAAGGUGACCUGGAACUUAUGCUCCCAUCUCUUCCAAACCUCGAGAUACUCCUUCCACUCUUAGGAGUACCAACUCCUGGACUUGCCCCUCUAUAACUGGCACGGAGGGUUUCAUCUACAGAGGAUGAAGACCUGGAAAUUGCAUUCCUCACAAACUUCUGUGCAGCAGGAGAGAGCGUCCGCACACUUGGACUAGCGCUGCCCCCUCUACUUGGAGAGGGCAACGGUGGCUUUUGAAACAUCUUUGACUUCUCCCUCAACCUUCGCGAAGCCUCCCUUGACAAUGAAUGGGCCUUCACAUCCCGUGCAGGUGGAUUAGGGAUUUUAAAAUGCGGCCCAUUGCCACUACCACCAAUAUCAAUCGGGGUAUCCUCAGGUUCCAACCUCAUUGGUGUCCCUUCAAUCUCACCCCAAGUAAUAAAUGGCGACUCAUCAACUCCAGGAGCCGGUGAUGGUGUCCUAACAAAACUAUACCCAUCAUCUGCCUUCUUCCCUGAUUCCACAUAAAACCUAUCUGGUGUCCUCCUCAAAUCCUCCAAAUCAUACUUCUUUGCCUUAUCCCCAUCCCUAUCAUACAUAGGAAGUGGAGUAGCCCCAGCUACAGGAGUAUAAAGCACCUCAACAACACCAUCAUCUCUUGGCCUAGUAUCCAACAUCUUACCAUGAAAACGUGUGCUGGACCUAUUGAUUUCUUUAGUCAAACCCUUCAAUCUAACAGCCUGUUCCUCCUCAGUCAAUGGAGCCUCACCCCUAUCAGCCGGAUGAUACAUCAGCAAAUUCUUCGCUGUGUACUUCCAUCCUUCCAAUGUGCUCGGUGGCUGAUCAGAAGUUCCAAAACCAUCUGUAAUCCUAUCCCUCUUCUCAUCCCCAAUCAAUUUAACAUCCUCCUUUUCACCUUCUAACAAAUGCUCAUAUCUCUCCUUCCUUUUCCUAUUCACUUUCUCUAAUAUCUUUGAAAAGCUAUCGUUAUCCUCACUCGUGUAUCUCCUAAAAAAAUCGUCUAAACUCAAAUUCUUAUCAACAGCAACUUCAUUCUCAUUAGACUCUGCAUUACUAGAUAAUCCCCUAUCCAUAACAACGCUAGGUGUUUGCAUCCUGCUAUCAAAUUCAUCAAAUGGAGUAAGACCACGCAUAAAAGUAGAACCUGGGGUUUGGGUUCGAUUUCUACUCCGUAUGCUGCCGUCGGAGCUGGGAUUAUUUACCUUUUUGCCACGGCGCUCCAUAAUCUUCAACUGGGCAUCUCGGAUUUGGAUCGGAUCGCCCGAUUUCAUAGCUUCGAGCCAAUCAAGACGGUCACGUAGCUUCGAGAUAUCAGGGAAGAAGUCGCGCUCGAUGAUUUUCUCGAUGGUGGCCACAUAGGUGUCCUCGUCAAGAACCGUGGGGCGUUUACUAGGGUUUAUCGGGGUGUUGUUGAUUGAGGAGGAAUUGCUGGAGAUCUGGAGGGUAUUUUCGGAAUUUGAAUAUGGUGACGGAGAUGAAAGGUGGCGUGGUGAGUGUCCUGGAGAGAGUAGCAUGAUGAUUUAGAAUGAAUUAGGGUUAGUCUUUCCACAAGAAAUUGAUUUGAGUGAUGAAAAUUGGGAAAUUUUGAAAGUUAGGGUUAGGGUUCUUUAAGCUUUUGAAGAUCGGAGACGGAGAAUGGAUGCGCGAAAAUUGUGUGCGCGUUACGUGAUUUGGAUUUGUGUCCCUUUAUUUAUUAUUAUUAUUAUUAUUAUUAAUGGUGUUGAAGAGAGUUGGAAACGACGCCGAUCUAACGGUCAUGAUGAAAUCCUUAUUAAAUAGCCGACAUGUCCAAUCGCUCCUCCAACUUUUAACUUCAAGCUGAUAGGAUUUUUUUUUAUUUAAAAAAAUACUUUCAUAUUUAUUUUUCUUUAUAUUAUUUGGCAGUCAAUGAUGAGUGAUUGGUAGUGUGAUUUAUUAUUUUUUUAAAGUAUAUUUUUUAAAAAUAUCAAAUUAAUUAUUUGAAGUGUUUUAUAAUUUUGAUGGGUUAUAAAAUAUAAAAUAUAAAAAAUAUUUUUUAAAAAUACCUCGUAUCGUAUUACCCAAUACUUACAUUAAGAGCUCAUUUGAUAUUAUAAUAACAAUUGUUUUUUAAAUAGUUUUUUUUUAAAAUAUAUUGAAAUAUUUUUUUAUUUUUAAAAUUUAUUUUUAAUAUAUUUAAAAUAAAAAUUAAGAAGUAAUUUUUAUUUUUAUUUGUUUUAAACGAUUUUGAAACACGUAAAACAACCAACUUAUAAUAAUUAUUACACAACCAAUCAUUUAACAAAACUGACCCUUAAGCUUGGAAGUGUUAUCUCUAGUGUGAAAGCGAGUUUUGAGAUGCCAGGGCUCCACAAUACCAACGAGGGUUGUCUUUCUUGACCCUAGAAAUUGCAGGCGGUAGCUAUGAAGCUCCUACGAGUCAAUUUGCUCCACUGGCUAUAUUAGUUCUGUGUCCGUAUAUUUAUUUUAAUAAAAAAUACUUUUAAAAUUUAAUAUUUAUAAAUAUUAAAUCUAGCUUUAACAUCGGAUUCAAGAAUCUUGCGCAUAGCUGUAAUAUCAAAUCAGAUAAUAAUAUUUAUAAUAAUAAUAAUAUUUAAGUUGUUUGUCAAAAUUUUUAUUUUUUAAUCUUUUAAAAAAAUUAUGGUUUUUCUUCUAUACUAAUAAUAAUUUUUUAAAAUAUAAUAAUAAUAAUUUUUAAUUUUACACUUAAAAUUAAAUUUAUUGUUAUUUUUCAAUAUUGAUAAUAAUUGAUUUUCAAAUUUAUUAAUUAUUUUCAUAAUAAUAUUAAUUAUACUAUUUUUGAUAUUAAUACUUUCAAUUAAAAUACUAUUUUUGAUAUUAAUACUUUCAAUUAUAAUAAAAAUAAUAAUAUUUAUAAUAUAAAUAAUAAUAUUUAGAAACUUAAAACUCAAGAACCUUGGAUCCUGACGUCGAACCUAAAAGAAUUAAGUCCUAACGUAAGACUCAUUAGCCUUGGAUUCUAAUGCCAGACCUAAGAAAAAUGGCACCUGACAUAGGAUCCAAGGCAAUUGGGUCUUGAUGAAGGUCCAAUAAUCUUGGGUUAGGUGGGGUUGCAAGAUCCAAAGAAUUUGGAUCUGCGCUCUAGCCACACCUAAACUUCUUGAGUGAGGUGCAACUUUCCUGCUCCAAGUUUCUUGAAUUUAGAAGGGGAUGUCUUAUCUAAGUUAACAACAACAACAAUAAUUGAUUUUACUCUUCAAAUCAAUUCUAUGUUUUUUAUAAUAAUAUUGUUUUACAAAUUUAGUAAUAUUAAUGAAUAUAAUAAUAUUUAUAAUAUUAAUAAUAAUAUUAAACUUGCCUGACCUAAGUUUUAUAAUAUUUAUAACACAAAUAAUACUAAUUUUAAUAUUAAUACUAUUAAUUAUAAUAAAAAUUAUAUCAUUUAUAACACAAAUAAUAAUAUUUUUGAUAUCAAUACUUUUAAUUAGCGCUAGUGUCUGUUUCCUAGGCUGCUGCCAGGCACGCGGGUUUGGCCCUAGCGUUCUGGCUUGAAGUCCAGGGCCAGAUGUCUGUAGCCUGGGUCCUGCAGCCCCACCAAAAUCGAAACUGACAAUUUUCUCCCCCAUAAAAAAUACAACCCCACCCCCUGCAGUUUUUGCAACUCUUUGUAAAGGGCAGUCUUGCCAAUACGCCUACCCAACCAAUAGUGCUUUUAGCAAAGAGCAAACCUAAACAAUGCAGUCCACAGUGAAAGUACUCAUAUUUUACAGUAAUUUGCGUCAUAGUACCGAACAAGCCCUCAAGUAUAUAUAAUCAACUGCUCCUCUAUCGUAUCUGCUAUGAGGUCUUAAAAUUAAUUUCUAAUAAUGUCAAGUUGAUGCAAUCGCUUCUAUAUGCAUUGACUAAAAAAACUCAUCAUAAUAGAAGAUCACAUAAAACUUAUAUGUCAAUCAACCUUUCAUAUUUUGUCAUAAUGGUUCCAUCUAUCAGAAGACUAGUCAAUAUAGUAACAUCCAAGAAGUGUGAGUGUCAUCUCACCAACACAUAGAUAGAAGGUGUCUGUUUUAUGCCUCUAUCGCUCAACCAAAACUGCAAUCAAUGUACGAUUAAGAUGUAUGCCACACUGCUGAAUGAUCUCAUAAAAACCAACAUUGACUUCUGACUGAUCUCAUGAAAACCAACAUUGAAAAUAAAUAGGCGGACAUGCUCAUGUAACUUCAUUAAGGUAUGAUGUCAAGGUGUUACAAGAUCACCGCCCUAAGAAUUAAACAAUUUAGUUAUUUACACAAUUAAAAUCUUUAGAUUUUAAUAAUUUAUAAUGCUUAAUUAAAAAUGUUAUUAAUCUAAAUAUCUAAUCUCUCUACUUUAACUAUCAUCAGAACGAUGCUGAUCCUACAUAUAUAAAACUAACUUAUCAUCAAAACCUGCCUCAAUAACUAUGUGAUCUUAUCUAUUAGCACUCCUAGAAGCAGUGAAACCUUUUAUAGUCUAAACCAUGUCUCCCUUGAAAUCCUACAUAACAAAUCCUAUAUAACAAAUUAUUAGCCUUUGUAAUAUAAUUAAACAUCAAAAUAGUCGAAUUAAAAACAAUAAUUAAAGUUUAUAUAUUUUAAAAUAAGUACAAAAAAAUAACAUACGUUGUCUCGUUUCACAAAUUUUUCUGUUAUAACUCCUUUGACUGCUAUGACAUAUCUAUUCAAUGAGUGCCCCUCUCUAGCAUCCAUCUUAUUAUGUAGACAAGUGAAUUUUCUUUGAACCCUAUCCGUUUAUCAUCUAAUUUGACAUCCAUAUAUAUCUGGACCAGUAUAUGCAGGUUAUAAUGAAGCAUAAGGCAAGGGUUGAAAAUGAAGAAUAUAUGCAUUUUUAUAUGACAAGAGUAGAAAUCAUCAAUAAAUUACACAUAGUUCACAUUUUAUAAAGUGCAACAUGCAAUUAAGUGUGAACAUGGUCAAUGACACGACCAAAAGAUUGAUGUCUUCUUCCAAGUGCAGGAGUGUCGAAGUAAUAAAUAACCCGGCAAGACCGGGGUCGAACCAUAUAGAGGUUAAUUGUACAAAUUAUAAAUAACAACACAAUAAUAACAAUAAUAAUAAUAACAACAAUAAUAAUAACAAUAACAGUAAUAGUAAUAAUAAUAUUAAUAGUAAUAAUAAUAAUAAUAAUAAUACUCAGUACGUGGCGUUGUUAUACCUGAGAAUGAUCUAAAAGAUCGGGUCACAGGUUUCCAGCCUAUAUACUGAGUUUAUGGAAAGAUCAAAGAGAUAUAUUAUAUAAUAUAAACAGAUUUCUGAUGCGAAUGAACAAGGCAAGACCAACAAUGUCAGGAUCCUUGAUCAAACACAGAGCAUACUUAACAUAUAUAAAAUAUAACAAGAAUGUAAAUAAUAAUAAUAAUAAUAAUAAUAAUAAUAAUAAUAGUAGUAGUAGUAGUAAUAAUAACAAUAAAAAAAAGAGGAGGAAGAAAUUAAUGAGAACUUUGAGAUGGAAGAUUAAUGUAAGGAUUAAACAAUGAUAAAAAUAAAUGUCAAGGUUAGAGGAUCCACCAAUGGUAUUUCAAACAAGUAUAGUAUAAACUCUUAUUACUCAAUUUGGAAACCACACACGAAGGAGGUUCCAUUCGGAUGAUUUGUCAUUAAUAGCUCAUUAUAAAUUAUAACAUGAUCAUAUUAAUUAUCUCAUUUACAUAACACCAAACUUUUAAAUAUUAUCAGGAAUUCAUGAUGUUAAUUGAUGUUAACAACAAAUCAAGUACCUUUCAUAGCCCAGGUGUAGGUAAUACCAUACGGUUGGGUUAUGAGAGUGCCAAGCAUUUGUUGUACCAAGUAUUAUACAACACAAAUUUAGAUUAACCAUUUAACAAGCAAGGUAUUAAGAAUUAGUAAGAUAAAAAGAUAAGACAUGUUAAUAUUAAACAUUAAGGUCCAUAUUGAGUUUACACCAUACUUGUUCUUACACCAUUAGUGUAACCUUUUCACCUUGACAUAAUAAACUUAGCCAAACAUAAAGAAGAAGAGAAACAUAAAUAAACAAAACAAGAACAUAAAUAAAAUACAAGUUAACUAAGGAAAGGAAAGGAAAUGAAAAGCAUAAACAAGAAAUUAAUGAAAGCAAAACUUAAGAAUUACAAAAAAUAUAAAGAGAGAAAUAAAGAGCAUGAACUUGAUCUGAACAACCAAGCCCCUAAAUACAUGGCAAAUGCCUCCUUUUAUAGGCCAAAAUUCGGAAUUAUUGCUUUGAUGACUCAUUGUUGAGUGGGUGGCCAACUUUUGACUUAGUGAAAAUCCUUAUCAUCUUGUCUAAAUAAAACAAAAAUGCUAGCAUCAGAACUGGGUCCAGAUGUCCAAAUGAAAGUUCUGCGAAAUUCUCUUAGCUUUCCAGCAAAAACAAAUGAGGUCAUUUGGACUUCUAGAACUCAAGAUAUGAGCUGAACACUGAAUAGUGUUUGGGCUGCAGGACAGCUUCGGACUUCUCCGUUGUUGCUAUUAUUUGGACUUGAAAACGGCCUUCUUAGAUCUUGAUGUCCAAAUGAAAGUUGUAGGCCUAUGUCUUAUCAAAUCUCUGUAAAAAUUUCAGAUCAUUUGGAUAUCUAGAACUCGAGAUAUGACCCAAUUACCGAACAAUGUUCCAGUUUGGACUGCACCAACGUCUCUUUUCUAAGCUUCACCCUUCUUUAUCUUCAAAAUUUCAAUAGUUGAAUUCAUCAAUCAAUCCUUUGAUUUAUGUGAUAUGCCUGCAUUUAAGAUGAACAUUUACCAUAUAUUAGGGUAAUUUAUAAUAUUAGACUUGUUAUUAUAAAACAUGCUUUAGUUAAGGAGUUAUUGAUACUUUAAGUGCAAAAUGAUGAUAUAAACCCUUGAUAAACAUGCACUUUUAAGUACUAAUCAGUCAAUUGUAUCGUUUCCAUUUGCUACAAGUACAUGUUGCUUUAAUGAUGUUAAUAGUUUCUUGUACUUUUCUUGUAACACUAGUUGUUAAAGGUGUCUAAAAAUGAAAUAUCUCGCCUUUAAAAUCAAAUAGAGAUAUCAAGUGUGAUAUAAAAGUUGUCACAUCGACAAGUAUUUCAAAUAGGAUUUUUGAAGGCCACAAUACAUCACAACUAAAAAAAUCUUUAAUUGUUUUUCUACGCUCUACAAAAUAUUCAUUACACCUAAAAAAAUAUUAUCUGCACUAUAACUGAAACAUGCAAGCCAUGGUCAAUUUUUAAAACAUUAUUAAAAGUAUCUAAUAAAUUCUUAGUCAUAUUUCCAUAACGAUGACCACUUAAAUCAUAUGACAAUGCCUAUUUUUCUUUAGAUUCAACUUCUAGCCAUGCUCUAAUCGCAUCAUCAGUCUCUACUAAAUUCUCAUAUAAAAUGUCAAACUCUUGUUUUAAAGGAUUUGUACAUAUCCUAUGCAAAAUAUUUUUCAAGGCAACAUUUUUAACUUAGUGAUGAAGUUAACUACAAAGUGUUGUGAACAAUAUCGAUGAUAUCUAAUAGGAUUGGAAAAAAUUCAAGUCAUAAAAUUCUUAUCGAUGAUAUAAUACAUAACUUAGUUCGACUGUCAAUCAUGUAUCGAUGAGGCAAAUCUAAAAAAUAACUCUAAUUAUUGUUUGUCUCUUCUUCAACAAUAAUAAAAUACAACGGAUAAACUCCAUUAUUCAUAUUAUAAGCAACUGCAACCAACAACUUUACCUUGUAUUUACCAUAAAUGUAAGUACUAUUAAUAAUAAUAAAAGGAUAAUAAUAUUGAAACUCAUCAAUUGAAGCACAAAGUGCCUAAAAUGGUCUCCUAGAUAUUGCCUUAUUACCAUCAACCAUUUUAUGAUCUCAAGUGAUGAUUGUUUCUGAAUUUGAGUCUCUGACGAUUAGUAACAUUCUAGGUAGAUUUUGAAAUGACUUUUCAUGUGUACCAAAUAACCGCUAUGAUAUUUUUUAUUUAUCCAUCCACGCCUUCCAAUAAAAGACUUCAUGCUGAUAAUCCAUCUCCACAAUACAUUGAAUUGUUGCAACACUCGUACUUAAAUCCCUCAUCAUAAUUGUCAACAUUAUCUUAGUAAUUAGAUCCGAGUCAAUAUGACGAUGGUGUUGCAAAACAAGAGGGUUUUGACAUAUGUGUAACCCUUUUAAUUUUAAAAUUUCCCAUUAAAUUCUACAUUUGAUGAUAUCCUCCAUGCAAAUACCAUCUACAUACCGGUUCAUAAACAUAUUGCAACUGAACACAAUUUUUAGUUGAAUAGUGGACCUUGUCCUGCAAUGAAUUUUUUAUAUGUCACCGCUUUAUUAUAUUAAUACAUUAAUACUUGUUUGUGAAUUUUGUUUUUAAUUUUCAAUUCAUCAAUUGACAAACAUGAAUGUUUACGACUAUUAGCCAAAUCAGUGUAUUCAUAUUGGUCAUCCACACUUGUAAGCUCAUAUUCAAGAAUAAGAGGAGUUAUGUAUUGAUUAACGGGCUUAACUAACUCAUUAACCCCAUCAUCCCCAUCUUUCUCCUUAACCUCAAUUCUAUCAAUAUGAUGGUCAUUUUCGGCAUCACUUGGUUUAGAUUCUCUUAGUCGACAAUUUUAAAUUUUAUUGAUUUUAGAAAUAAGUAUUUUUACUAUUAAAAAACUUAUAAAAAAUCAAGAAAACUCUUAAUCAAUAAUUUUAAAUUUUAAAUGUAAAAUAAUAUUUUUAUUAUUUAAAAACAUAAAAAAACUUAUAUAUCCCCAACCAAUCUUUAAAACUAAAAACCCUCGGCCUGAAGAUUUUUUUUGUUCCACUCAAGAGUAAAUAAAUAAUUUUAUUAUAGCAAUCUACAUUACACUGUAUAUAUUGGCACAUGAAAACACCAUAACGAGGUUUAAAGUUUUGUUAAAUUAUUGGAAAAAUUUAAAAUACAAAUGUAAGGGCAAUGAAUCUGUCAAAAGAAAUAUGGAUUUGUAUAUAUGCAAGAAACUCUCUCUCUCUCUCAGUUUUUGUUUUGUCUAUAUAACUGAUAGUUUGAUUGUAAUUUUUUUUUAAAUAAAUUUUUAUAUUAAAAUAUAUAUUAAUGAAAUUUUUUUAUUUUAAAAAAAUAAUUUUUAUAUUAAUAUAUUAAAAUAAUUUAAAAACAUUAAAUCCAUAUUAAUUUAAAAUUAAUAAAAAUUUAAAUUUUUUUAAAAUAUUUUUAAAACACGAAUUACGGAAUCAUUUUCUCUUGCUUUUUUUCUACUCAAUACUAAUGAUGCCCGUACUGUCCCCCCUCUCUCUCUCCUCUCGUACUCAGCCUGUCUGUCUGAUUAGACUUUUCUUGCUUUUAUAACCUUAAACUCUCCAAAACCCCUUCCUUCGGGCUCGCCUACACCAGCUUCAAAAAAGAACUAAGUGAAACCUUUAUGGAACUUCAGUAGUCGCCGGUUGGUUCCGAUGCGAUCUACGGCCCUGAUUGAGUCGAGAGUCAGAAUUCUAGGGUUUCGCGUGGGAGUGGGACCACCUGAUCAUCAUCAUCACCAUCAUAAAAAUAAAAAAUGAAGACUGGUUACCAUUUUAGGUAAUUUAUAUUACGGGAGUAGAAGAUAUAUGGUUUACUCUAAUGAUUACUGUAUUUAUGACUAAUUGUUCUAAGAUUUUUAUUUCAAUUUUUUGUUCUUCUGUUAAUUAAUAUUUUUUUCACUCUUUAAUUUCUAAUUAUAUAUGCUAUUUAAGUUUUCAGCUAUAAUUUGCUCCGUUGGGAAAAUGCAAGGAAUAAAUAGAUAGAAAUUGAAUUCUAGAACCAAAAGCUGCUGCUGGUGGUGGUCUUAGCACUGUUAAAAUUAUAUCUAUUUACUGUUGACUGUAGCAAUUUGACUUCCGUUUGAUUAUCAUAAUUGAAAUAGUUAAACCGCAAAGGUAUGAACUAGUCGUUAAGGAGGUUUAUUUCCCUGGUUUUUUUUUGUUCUAACCUUGGGGUUAGCUUUGAAGGAAUUUAAUAAAUUUCUCUGAAUAUAUGGCCUUAAGAUUAUUUAGGAAGAGGACUUAAUCUUGGUUGAUAUAGGCAUGUUGGUGCGUCUAUUAAAAAAAUGAUAAUUAUCGGUGAAAAAGAAACUAUUUUUUUCACUUAUUUUUUGCAUCAAUUUUCUUGGCAACCGAGCAAAGAAUAUAUAAAUUUUUGCCUUGAUCUUCUUAUUAAUCAUGGCUGGAGUUUAUUUACUAAUAUGGGUUGCUCUUAACUUUGUUUGGGAAGGGGGCGGGGGAAUUAUUGAACGCAAGCUCAUGGAUUAUUUAUUUACCAUGGAAGAGAGUAGAAGCAUUACAAAUUAGUUGUACAUUUGAAAAUGCCGUGAGAGUAUCCGGAAAUAAAUGGUUUCCGAAUUGUUUGAAGCAGGCACAACUUUUAAACAUUGGGUUCCAUUAUGUUAUAUGUGAAAGGAAUUGUCUAGCAUGUUGGUUGAUUGAAUAUGUGCAUCAUUUGCUUGUUUGCUGUUAAGGGAGUUAGCGUCUCUCUGCCAAAGAUCAUUGAUUUGUUUGAUGGGAGUGUUAUUUUUCAAAUAAAAUGUUGAUACACAUCCUUUUGUGUUUAACAUGUAAGUCUGCUGUAUCUUUUACUUGAAAUAUUCUAGGAAUGUUGAGUUCACAGUCAGCAGUUGGGAUGCAAAACCUAAAAAAAAAAAUAAAAUUGGUUAUUAAAGUAAGUGCUUGGUAUUUUUAUUUCUACCGGUGCUUGAUGCAUAUACAAAAUUUUCAUCGACAUUUUCUUCAUCAUGCCUCAAUUCAAAAUCAGGUUUACAUGAUAGUGAUUACAAACUUUAUAUAUAUAUAUUCUUAAGUUCUCCAUAUGACUAAAGAAGUUUUAAAAUUUUUGUUUGAAACUUGAAUUAGUUGGUCUCGAUUGACAAUUUGCAAAUUCUCACUGUUAUUAAUUUUACUUUGAUGCUUCCUCAGGUAUGAACAGCCACCACCAUGUGCCAUUUGUUCAAGUGUGCUGUCAAUUGUAUUAACAGCACCUUGAAUUUAUCUCUUUGGUUUCUUCUAUAACUUCCCAAAUUAACAUGGUCUCGUCAGAGGAAGUUUCUCCCAAGGAAUUGCAGAAAAGACAGAGCCCGGAUGGUGGGACUGACACAGCACAACAGACCCGUGGUAGUGGAGGUGAUGCUUCACAACAAGAAGGAAUUCCUCCUUCAAAUUCCCCUGAGAAACCUUUGGAGAAUACUGGGGGGCGUAUUUUGCAGUUAGACAAAGAAGGAAGUGUUUCUUCUUUAACACCUCGGAAAUUGUCACAUACCCCUGGCAGUGAUCUCCAUUCCUUGCAAUCUGGUAAGGAAAGAUGGAGUCCUUCUAUCAUGCGGGAAAAAGUGUCAGAUGAUGGAUAUCGCUGGCUAAAAUACGGGCAGAAACUUGUUAAAGGAAAUGGAUUUAUACGGAGCUAUUACAAAUGUACACAUCCAAGUUGUCAAGUGAAAAAGCAAUUGGAGUGCUCACAUGAUGGGAAGCUUGCUGAUAUCGUUUACAUUGGUGAGCAUGAGCAUCCCAAACCUCAACUUAACCUCCCACAAGCAGUUGGUUGCAACCUGUCCAUUGUUGAAGAAAAACCUGAUAAUCUUAUACUGACUGGCGUUGAAGGUAACAGGGAAAAAUCGCCAUAUUGUUCAUUUUUAGCUCUUAACUAACAAGUGAUCAUUAUUGUGUUGUCUUAUGUUCACUAAUUGAUAAAUGAAGAAAGUCAGGCACCUAAUCCGAUUGAGCCAACAACUACCUCUCAGAUUUCAACUGUCACAUCCAGCGAGUACGUGAAGCGUGUGCUAUCAGAACCAAAUAGGAUAAGGGAUGAGAUUGAUGAUGAUCAACGCUCAAAACAACGGUAAGUUAAUCAAAUGUCUGUAAAUUGAUAUUACUCUUUUGUUCCAAGCGCAGAAAAUUAUUAAAAUGGCUGUAAAUUUAUUUUACUAUUGUUUCACUUGUGAGAUAUCUCUUUUGUUUCAAAUGAACACAACAGGAAGAAAGGUAACUGUAAUGAUGAUUCUACUCCUUUAGAUAAGCCAACUGGUGAGCCACGCCUUGUCAUUCAAACAAAAUGCGAGGUUGACACUGUCAAUGAUGGCUAUCGUUGGCGUAAAUAUGGGCAGAAAUUGGUUAAAGGCAAUCCAAAUCCCAGGUAACUGCCAAAUUUAAUGAACUCAACAAGGUUAGACCUUGGUUUAUACAUGUUUAGUUUACAUCUCUUCCCUCUGGUUAUGAAUGUCAGGAGAUGCCUGCUUAUAUUGAAAGCAUAACGACGAGAUUGUGAUGUCUUUAUGUGGAGACCAAAGUACUCCGAUUACAUGCUGACUUUGAUCUACCCUCCAUUAUGUAGGAGCUACUACAGGUGUUCCAGUCCCGGAUGUCCAGUUAAGAAACAUGUAGAGAGGGCAUAUAAUGACCCAAAAUUAGUUAUAACCAGCUAUGAGGGACAACAUGAUCACGAUAUGCCUACUGUUGCUCAAAACACAACUGGUCUCAACAGUUGUACAACUACCAUCCAGAAUGGCUCGUCAGGUGCAAAAUGAGGAGAAAGUGAUGCCAUCUCCCAUUUACCAUGACAUGGUUGCUUAUAAUAGUUCGGAUUCUAACAUCAAAUCGGAGGAGAAAAUGAAUUCUGAGUUGAGAAAUUUAUGGAAAGAAAGCAUUUCAGGCCAUGAAAGUGAAUCAAGGGAGCAGAAAAAUGGCUAGUCAAGUGCCACGAAAGCAACUGAUAUUGUUGUCAAUGCCAAUCCUGUGUCAGCAGGUAGAUCAACGGAGCCACAUGAUGGCGAGUCAAGAACUGAAUCAAAAGAGAAAAGUGCUGCUUGCGGUGUUCGUACCAUCACUCCAGGUCCAGAGAGUAGUCCAAAUGAACAGCACAUGCUAAAUUCAGAGCCUGACUUAAGCUAAUUGAAACAGAUUGAUUUUUAGAAUCGUGGGAAACGAGCUCCAUCUCUAUAAAUGAGUCCUUAUAGGUCAAUUUAUCAUUAAAUAUAACAGCAAGUAUCGGAUAUGUGACAGCUUUGAUGUAAAAGCAUUUGAACAUGGUAAAAAGAUGUUCCAAAUUCGAGUUACAAUUCCUGGAAGCUAGUUUGGUACGUCCUGUAUCUGCAUUCCGUACAUUUUAGCUCAGCCACUCACCACUGCCCUCACUCCUUGCAAUAAGCGAUUGUCUUCGAACUGUCAAAUUAAUAGCUUUUGCUGUAAAGCCCAUAUUUCAUUCAAAGCAGGCCUCAUGUCUGUAAACUGACUGACGGCAAGUCUUCUUUUUUUAACUCAACAUAAUAAGCGUUUCAGACCACAGAUAACUCGGUAGAAGCAAAUUGCAUCUUAUGAACCCAAUCUGGACAGUUUCGAGGAAGUGCGUUGCUGGACAACAAUUAGCUGUAACUUCACACCGGCGGAUUCAAAAUUAAGCAGUUGUUAAAACGGUGCGUUGAGAAUAAAUCAUUAACUUCAAACAAUGUGUUUUAUAAAGUUUAUAAUUAUGUUACAAUUCAGUUAUAAUCAUGUGAAAAAAAAAAAGUCACGAGAUGGUUGUUAAGCUCCACUAUAUAUAUAAUAGCAUUCUGAUGCAACAGAGGCAUGCAUGAAAUAAUAUUGAAUCAAUUCCUUUUCUUUGGGUCAUUCUUCCCACGCCUUCUCUUUGUUCACUCGCUUCUUCUCAUUCCUUUUUCUGCUUCUUCUUCUCCUUCUACCCCUACUUUGUUUGCUCUAUCUCUUGACAACCAAGUAGUUGCUCCAAGUGGUAUCAUAACUGCAUCUUCAAACUCAAAAUGCCUCCUGAAACGAGAUCCCAAGAUGCCAGAAGGGUGGAUAAAACCACCAAUCUGGAGCAACCCCAAGCAUAUGAUCACAUCCAACAACAACUUAAUGAUACCAGGGCCGAUGCUAAUACACGCUUCAGAGAACUUAAAGAAGCUAUGGAUGCCCUUGUUUCUCAGGUAGACACAACAUUGCAGGAGACCCAACUUUCUUCAGGGGAGUGCAACUUACCUAAGGCUCCUCAGUUUCCUCCAACAAGAGAUUCCUCUGCUCGUUUCAACUGGGUUAAUGAAGGUACUCCUCCUCAAUAUCAAUUACGUAGAACGAGAGUUUCCUAUUUUUGAGGGAGUGGAUCUAUAAGUGUAACCAAUACUUUGAUGUGGAAGAAAUUGCUGAGCAAGACAAGCUCAAAUUAGCUUCCUAUUAUCUGGACAACAUGGCUGGCAUCAAAACUACAUGAGAAGCUUGGGAGGAAAGGGUAGUAUCCUGGUCAGAAUAUGUAGAGGCUUUAUGCUGCAAGUUUGGGGGAGAGAAAAACCCUUUAGAGGAACUCAUUGAACUUAAACAGAAAAAUGACUUAGAAACCUAUAUCAAGGAUUUCGAUAUCCUCUGGAAUCGAUUCGAAAUUUCUGAGAAAAAUGCUUUAGUAUUCUUCAUAGGGGGGCUGGAUGUAGAAGUUAAGAACAUGAUCAAGAUGUUUGAGCCAAAGUCCUUGAAACAAACAUAUACUUUAGCUAGAUUACAAGACAACAACCUCACCCAUAGACGUUAUGGCUCUAAUCCUAUCAAACAGACUUAUCACCUAACCACCUUUGCUUACCAAAACAGACCUAUUACCCCUUCCAGCUACAACAAAAAUUCCCCCACCAGAUUCCCAAGUACUAGCCUUAAACCACCACAAGCAGGUCUUUUACCAAACCCCUUACCUUACAACCCCAACAUUACCCAAAGAACCAUUAGACCCAUCAUAAACAGGGACUUGGAUGAGAGGAGGGCUAAAGGCCUUUGUUUUUGGUGUGAUGAUAAGUUUAUACCGGGGCAUAGAUGCCAGAACAAGAAACUGUAUUCCCUUUGUAUUAUGAAAAAGAAUGGGGACGGUAGUGAAGACGAGGGAGCUACUGACUUGGACCCUGACACCUCCAAUCCUCACAUACCCCUCAAUGCAUUAGAAGGAGUAACUGGCCUAAACACCUUACGGGUCACAGGCAGGGUCGAAAACCAGCCUCUAGUUAUCUUGGUAGAUGUUGGUAGUACACACAAUUUCAUCAGCAAUCACGUAGUAGACAAAUUGCAUUGUAAUCUUACAAACAUUAAGGCUAUAACAGUGCAGGUAGCUGAUGGUGGAAUCAUGACUUGCACUUCUAUGUGUAGCAACUUCCAAUGGUCUAUCCAGGGAGUUGAUUUUGUGACUGAUGUAUUUACCUUGGAUCUAAAAAAUUGUGAUAUGAUAUUCAUCAUUCAAUUCAAUGGUUGGCCACACUAAAAACCAUCUUAUGCAACUAUAAAGAAAUGUGGAUGGCGUUUAUAUGGCAAGGUCAAGAGGUUUUUAUCAAGGGAAAUGAUCCAGUAACCAUGAAAACUGUCAGACUAAAGCAACUUAAUGGUUUGUUAUGUAGUACUAGUCUGGUUUCUGAAAUUAAUCUGUGCAGCUUACGCUCUAUUAACAGUCAGGAACAUGAGGAAAAUCCAACAUCCACUAGGUUACAACUUGGCUUGCUGAAAAUACAGUUUCAUCAAUCUACAGGCAAAAUACCAGGAGCUGUUUGAAGAACCAAAGGGCUUGCCUCCUCCUCGCAGCCAUGAUCAUAGUAUACCUUUUAAGGAAGGCUUUAAUCCAGUUAAUCUUAGACCUUAUCGACACUCCAGCCUACAAAAGGAUGUGGUAAAACAUAUGGUUAAAGAAAUGCUUGGCUCAGGAACCAUUCAAUAUAACCAUAACCCUUUUUCUUCACCAGUCGUCCUAGUAAAAAAAAAAAAAGGAUGGAUCAUGGAGAUCAUGCAUUGACUACAGGGUAUUAAACCAACUCACAAUCAAAGAUAAGUUUCCUAUUCCCUUAAUAGAUGAACUCCUAGAAGAAUUGGUGGGUGCCUCAAUUUUUUCUAAGAUUGAUCUUUGAUCUGGUUACCACCAGAUCAGAAUGGCUCCUGAAGACAUCUACAAGACUGCGUUCAAGACACACAAUGAGCACUAUGAAUUCUUGGGCUUGACUAACACCCCUGCCACAUUUCAAAGUCUAAUGAACGAAUUAUUUAGGGACCAACUGAGGAAGUUUAUUCUUGUCUUUUUUUAUGACAUUUUUAUUUAUAGUAACUCCAUGACAAAGCACCUAGGCCAUCUCAAGACUGUCUUCACGAUCCUACAGACUAACCUGUUGUAUGCCAAGUUUAGCAAGUGUGUUUUUUGCAGCCCCCAAGUUGAGUAUCUAGGUCAUGUCAUAUCGGCAGCAGGGGUGUCGACUGAUCCCCAUAAGAUCAAGGCCAUCCUAGAUUGGCCUCUCCCAUGCAACAUUAAACAACUAAGGAGAUUUUUGGGUUUCACUCGAUACUACAAGAGAUUUGUUAAGGGUUAUGGUAUCAUUUGCAAACCCUUAACACAGUUGUUGAAGAAGGAUGCCUACAAAUGGAAUAAGGAAGCCACCUCAACCUUCAAUCAACUGAAACAUGUGAUCACUCAACCUCCAGUCCUGGCGUUGCCAGACUUGACUCAACAAUUCAUCAUCAAGAGAGAUGCUAGCAGCAGAGGAAUGAAGGCAGUCCUCAUGCAAGUAGGCCACCUAAUUGCAUUUAUUAGUAAAUCAUUUGGGGUUAAACAACAAGCACUUUCCACUUAUGAAAGGGAACUACUUGCUAUUUUACUGGCAGUUACUAAAUGGUAACAUUACUCAUGGGGUAAACAUUUUACUAUAUGUACUGAUCAUCUUAGUCUCAAAUAUCUAUUAGAACAGAAGGUGACUUGCCCAUCACAACAUGUGUGGCUCGCCAAACUCAUUGGGUUUGACUAUGAGAUUGAGUUCAAAAAGGGAAAAGACAAUGUGGUUGCUGAUGCCCUCUUAAGGGUGUCCUGUGGAACUCUCAGUACCAUGGAAGUCUCUUCCCUUUCCACUACACUCUUGGAAGGCAUCAAACAAUCUUGGUAAAGUGAUAAGGUUGUACAACUUCUCAUUCAGGAAUUAAACCAGAGCCUAACUUUCAUCCUCACUACUCUUGGGUCAACCAGCUCUUAUGCAGGAAAGGUAAGCUUGUGGUAGGCCAACAUGGACCUCUUCAGACUUAAAUCAUUUCUCUAUAUCAUGAUUCAGCUGCAGGAGGCCAUUCAGGCACUACUGUUACAGCAAAAAGAGUGGCCAAUGGGUUUUAUUGAAAGGGCCAACAAAAGAAUAUUAGACAAUACAUCAGGGAAUGUCCCAUUUGCCAACAAAACAAAUCUAAAAACAUACGCACUCCUGGGUUGUUACAACCCCUCCUUAUUCCUACAACUCUUUUCAUUGAUAUUAGUAUGGAUAUCAUGGAGGGGCUUCCUAAAUCGAAAGGACAGGAGGUUAUAUUUGUGGUUGUGGACAGAUUUAGCAAGUAUGCAUACUUCAUGGCUAUUCCACACCUCUAUACUACCUAUUCUGUAGCUUGAGUGUUUCUAGAUAAUGUCUACAAAUUGCAUGGGUUCCCAGCCACCAUUGUUAGUGAUAGGGACACUAUCUUUCUCAAUCUCUUAUGGAACGAGUUAUUUUCUAGACAAGGCGUCAAGUUAUGCUAUUCCACAACUUACCACCCCAAUCAGAUGGCCAGACUAAGGUGGUCAACAAGUGUCUCAAAAACUACCUGUGUUGCAUGAUAGGUAAUCCCCCACACAAUAGGUUCAGUGGCUUCCCCUAGCCGAAUAGUGGUACAACUCCAACUAUUAUACGGCCACCAAAUCCACUCUCUAUGAAAUCCUUUACGGCUACCCUCCCCCUUUACACAUCCCCUAUUUCCCAAAAGAUUCACUUGUAGAUACCGUGGAUAGUUUCUUAUGCAAAAAGGAACAAAUUCUACAUACAGUCAAGAGAAACCUACAACAUGCCCAACAUAGAAUGAUUCAACUUGCAAACAAACACAGAAGUGAAAUACAAUUUGCUAUUGGCGAUCUAGUCUACCUCAAACUGCAACCAUAUCGACAAAAAAACACUAGGCCACAUGCAUUCUAAAAAUUUAGCUUCAAAAUACUACGGUCCAUACGAAGUUUUAGCAAGAAUUGGUAUAGUGGCCUAUAAAUUGAAGUUACCUACCUUUGCCUCCAUCCACCCUGUGUUUCAUGUGUCCCUGUUGAAGAAAAAGGUGGGCAAUCGGGAAGUACACACCAGAUUGCCUGCUCUGCCAUUAGAACCUCUUCUCCUUCCCCAAACUAUUUUGGAUCGCCGGAUGGUCAAGAAGAAUCUACAAGCAGCCACUCAACUCCUCAUUCAUUGGACUGGCCUUACCCCUGCAGAAGCCACCUGGGAGUUUGCUGACGAACUCGCCCUUUGUUUUCCCAAUUCGACCUUGAGGACAAGGUUCAUUUGAAGAAGGGGCAAUUGUUGCAGGACAACAAUUAGCUAUAAGUUCACACGGGGGGAAUUCAAAAUUAAACAGUUGUUAAAAUAGUGCGUUGAGAAUAAGUCAUUAAGUUUAAACGGUGCGUUUUAUAAAAUUUAUAAUUCUGUUACAAUUCAGUUAUAAUCACGUGGAAAAGAAAGAAGUCACGAGCUGGUUGUUAGGCUCCACUGUAUAUAUAAUAGCAUUAUGUUGCAACAUAUGCAUGCAUGAAAUAAUAUUGAAUCAAUUCCUUUUUUUCCGGUCAUUCUUCCCACGCCUUCUCUGUGUUCACUCGCUUCUUCUCCUUUCUUCUUCUGCUUCUUCUUCUCCUUCUACUCCUAUUUUGUCUGCUCUAUCUCUUGACAACCAAGUAGUUGCUCCAAAGGGGCUGGUUCUAACAGCCUUAGCUAUCCAAUCUGCAACAUGCCACUACUGUAACUACAACAUUAGGCAUGCUAUUAAAAUGGUGCUUUUUAUCUUCGACAAUAGGACAUAGGCAAUAGAGGUGGAAUCUUGAUGGCUAAUGUUUCUCCUAGCGCUAUUGACCUGCACUUGCAAACAAGACCUCGACCAUUCAAAACUGUUCCAAUGGAAUCCCUACAAGCAAUGCCAGUUCUUGUAACAUUUAACAAAUCACAAUUCAAUUUCUGUUAGCGUUGUGCAGGUCUUGUCUUUCAUGUCAGUGACCGAGAAUCAUAUGAAAAAAAUUCCAGCAUUUCAUUAGGAAACUGGUAUGGACAGAGGCUCAGAGGAAGAAACCUUGGAAUGCUUCAUGCUCCAAACCAGACUUGGUUCCCCCAAGGCCAGGAAAAGCAAAAAAGUUCAAAGCAUUGAGCUGCUGGUUUCAAAGAACUGGGUAACUUAAAGAGUAGUAAAAGCAAAGUACACAGCUGAGGCCACUGCCUUCCUCUUCAAACCAUUUAGAACUAACGGCCAAAAGAAAGAAAAAAGAAAAAAAAGGAAAACCUAGAGAUUCUACCUCAGCUGGUUGCCUGCUUUCCUAAAUGAGAAAAAUAAAAUCAGAAUGCAUCACUUCCAUGCACAAGAUGCCGCCACAUCCCUGUUCAUCCAGCCAAGAUAAAGAGCCCCAUCUUUUUCUUGAAGCCUAUUGUAGAAUUUUUUUUCAUGAUCCUGACAUCCAAGCACCGGAUUAUAGUGUCGGGAUUAAAGAGUUAUAAUCUAGUUGUUUGAUUUAGAAUUACUAGAAAUUUACAGGUGGAUUGGUUUUAUAUAAAAUUUCCAAGUAAAAGAUUAAUUAUAAUUAAAAAAAAUAUUAGGCCAUUAACACCCUUAACGUAUUUUAUCUUAGACAAACUAUAUUGUAUGAUUUUGAUAUGAUUUAAAAGUGUUCAUAGAUUUUACUGGUGGUUCAUUUAUGAUUUAAAAUAAAAAUUUAUACUCAUAUAUAAAUCUGGUAUUUCAAAUUUAUUAUGAGCUUGUAUACCCGUUAUAAAUUCUUAUUUAACAUUACAAUUUAAUUACACUUUUAAAAUUUUUAAUGUUUUUUAGCUUUAAAUUAAUAUUUUUUUUAAUAUUAAAAAUAAAAAAAUAUUACUUUAAUAUAUUUUCAAAUAAAAAACACUUUAAAAAAUAUUUACUACUCUCAACCAUACAUUCUUUUAAAGGGUGUUUAGAAGUGAAGUAGCAUUUACUUUUUAAAAUAUUUUUUACUUAAAAAUACAUUAAAUAAAUAUUUUUUUAUUUUUUUAAAAUCAUCACAUCAAAUUAAUAUAAAAACACAAAAAUAUAAUUAAAAAAAAAAACACUGCUGUAAAAACAAGUUCUACAUGCUUUUUCUUGGGUUUUUUUUAUUUAUUUAUUUGAUUCCACAUAAAAAAGCUACCACGCACACACACCACUCCCAAACACACCAUCAGAACAUUCAAAUGAAUCCAAACAGCAUUCCAUUCACAGUUGUUCAACAAGAGUGGCAUUUCUAAACAACACAGUCAAUCCUUACUAUAUAACUUGGCAGAAGGCGGGUUUCGAUACAGAUGAAAUCGACCCCCUUUUUCUUUCCAAAUGAAGGACGUGAAAGACAGGGUACAAAUAUGACGUGGAGAAAAAGCUUACUGGCUUAUGAGCACGAGUGGCGGAGCAACCUAGCUUCUUCAGGGAUUUGUCCUGAAAUGGUGGCGAUCGUUUGGCUGUGCUUCUGUCUUUGGGGGGACAUUGUAGCCAUGUAGAAUUUCAUGGAUUUUGGAAUAUGCCAACACCUGUGAAGGGUCAGGCCCGCCACUGCUUUGUGAUGCACGUGAACUCUCCUGCAGCUUAAUCUUCUCAAAUAGAUAUUGCUUCUCUGCCUCAGCUUCACUUAAACGUAGCUUGAGGUAACUGCUAGCAUAUUCUUCCUCUGAUUUGUCUGUCUUAGCAAGCGCAAUUCUCUGCAGCCUCUCAGCCUCUCGCUUUGCCUCGUUGGCUUUGAGCUGGAACAUGUCAGCCUCUGCCUGCUUAAGCCUCACAAUCCUCUCUAGCUCUUCUAUCUGUUGCUUCUUUUUUUGCCUCUCUAGCUUUAGUUCUGUCACUUCCUUGGCCUUUUCCUCCAGCUCACGGUCGCAUGCCUCGAGAGCCAUGCGUGCUUUCUUAAACAUUCUCAUCUUCUCAUCAGCCACCAUCUCCAUCUUCCUUAUGGCCUCUUGCACCACUUCAGCAAUUCGGUUGCAGGCCUCCUGCGGGGCUAUUAGCCUCCCACCCUCCCCAUUUUCCAGGCUCUUUGGAGAGUCCACCUCAAGCUCUUCAAAGAGCGCACAGCAAAAUAGAAGUUUAAUUUCAUGUAAUUGAUUUCUACUGAAUUUCAAAUACCGAAUUCAAUAAUCCAGUUAAGAAGCAAUCAGUUCAGGUGGCCAUCAAAACAAAUAACAUAGACAUGAAACCUAUAUGUGGACUCCCCACAGGACCAUAACAAAAUGGAGGCUAAGUGUAGAAAAAAAGAAACUGAUUACUCAAAAAACUGCAGAGCAACGAUGAAGCCCUAAAGCUCAAAGAAUAGAAGAGACAGAUGCUAUGAUUAGCCUUGCCAAUCAGCUUGACCUACGAGUCUAACAAUAGAAUGAAGACAUCACCUCCAGUCACAGUAAUAGACUUUCAGCAUAAGCAUGUCAAAGGUUCUGAUCACAGUGAGAUAUUCUUAGCAUGUCUAUAUAUGGCAUGCUCACUUGCAGGACAAGCAGAUCAAAUAAAGUAUGAUGCAAUGAUUUACCUAUAUAUGGUAAAUGCAGUCCUUUCAAACCACUACUUAAAAACACCGUAUAGUGGAGCUCAAAUAGGUAAAAAUGUCUUUAAACAUUGUUAUAACGCAAUAAUACACACACACACACACACGUACAUAUUCCCUUUCAUUUUCUACAAUUUUUUUUUUUACUAAAAUACUAUGAACUUAAAUUCAUUUAGAACCCUUGAAACUGCACGUUUUUUAAAGAAAAAGUCAUGCUUUCUAUACAGCUAAAGAAGAAAAAUUGUGUUUGCUUACAUCCUCUAACUAAAUGCUAGGGUAAUCUAUCUUUUCAUGAUCAUCACUCUAAGGUACAGAUCUUAAGAGAAACUAUUUGUGAUCUAUAAGCUCAUCAACAAUCAACCCUGGUGUUUUACUUUUCUAUUAGCAAACCUCAGGUUUCACAUCACCAAGUAGGGAUUCGGUUGUCAAGCACCUUAAGAACCUGAAGACUUUUAAAGAUGAGAGAUUCCACAAUCUUUUGGUAGUUUCUCCCAGAAUUCAGCAUGUAUGCAAUAUUAUAGUCCUGUACUUAUUAUAAGUUCUAUUAUCUAUGCGUAUGAAGCAAAGUAGGAGCAAUGCUGACACAUAAUUUUUUUCUAACAAGACCAAAACUUUUGGUGAUUUAUUAUUUUUCAUUAUAAAUUUUGGUUGUUUAUUAACUAGAGAUUUUUUUGUAUCACCAUUUCUUUUUGUUAUAAACUGAAUUAAUUCAACUCUGUACAUCUAUGAAAUACAGCAGCUAUUAGUGCUUGAAAGUAAUUUAGCGUCCAAUUCAUAUGUCUGCUUUACCCAUGGCAUCCAAGUGAUUAGUCAAUCACUUUGACAAUUCAAUUCAUUAAUUUGUCUCAAUUAAAUUAAGUUCAUCACAUCCAUUGUGAUUGCACCUACUGUUAUAUAUAUAUAUAUAUAUAUAUUGCAUACGGGACUCCAAGAGUCUAUAAGAAAGAAAGAUACACAGUACUCACUUGAACUAAUCAAAGUAUUUUCUGAUCUUCACUUUCAAUAAUGCUUUAAUUUCAUCUUCCAUUUAUAAUUUUAUAUUAAGUCAUGAUUUGAUAUAUCUGCACUAUAUUGGACAACAAAAAUAAAUGAUUGCAUGAAUUAUAUAUGUGCUCUUAAUAUGUCUUAGAAUAUAGUCUUAUCUCAAAUUUGUCUUGAAUGUUACCUUAAUGACAGUGCGAGGCAUAUUCGUUGAGACAAUAUGCAUUUUUUAUGUUAAACAUGGAUUAUAAAAAAAAAAUAGCAUAAAAUAUAUUUGGCUCUAGUUUUAUUCAGCUACAAUAUUAGAAGCUCCAAAGGCUCAAGCAAUCUUUGAGAAAAAUUUAAUAUUUUCUAAGGACAAUAUUUUUAUUACAGAAACAAAUACAAAGAAAACAAAAAAAAUAAAAAUAAAAAUAGACAAAGAUUAAUUCAAUUUGAAGAACAUUUUCUCUAUCAUGUGCAAGGAUAGAAGGAAAAACAAAAAAACAAUUUUUUUGGCAUAAUUCAGAACAUUGGCUGGAUUAAACUACAUUUAAUUGUAAAUUAAAUGGCAUGCACCAAAAUAUUAAAACAAAAAAAUGAAAGAAACAAACAAACAAACAAUUUGUGUAGCAUCAUUAUUAAAAUGUUCAAAUAAAUUUCAUUCAAUUGUAAUAUUUUUUUUCUAUUUAAAUAGUGUGUUGUUUUUAAUACAAAACUUAAAUGAUAUACGUGCUCCAUUCUAUGAAAACUAUAUAUAAGUAUUGGAAUAACUUUGGAGUGUUAAAACUUUUAUCGAAACUAAAAAGGCUUCAAUUCAGUUAAUUGAUCCACAUGGAAAAGGAAAUAAUUACUUUUCUAAUUCUUCUUUAGAUUGGUUGAGUAUGAAAUUAAAUUCUUGUGAUUGAUCUAAAUCCAACAUUAAAAGGAAAGGGAAAAUGUUUUACACUACCUAACUUUUUUUCUUUUCAUAGACUACACCACCUCACCUUUCAAAAUUGUCAUUCUUUACAAAAAAAAAAAAAACUGUAAUUAUAUGUUUCCGAAAAUAGAACUUUCAUUAACCUACAUUCAAAUGUAUAAAUACAAAUCAUGUUUUACUAUUUCUUUUUUAGUUUGACAAUAGUGUUUUACUAUCAUUAAGAACUAAGGAUCCCCAUUCACUAAAUUAUACCUUUACCAAACCUUUUUUUUUUUAAUCUUGAUUUACCUAACAUAAUUUUUUUUUUCUUAUCUCAUAUCUCUAUUCACUAUGCACUGCACUUACACCUUGUAAGGAUUUCAAUUCAUCAAACAUAAGCGCAAAAAGUUACACACACAUACAUAAUAUUUGUAUAACAAAAAGUUACACGCACACGCCUAUAAUAUCUGUAAAAAGAAAUAGUCACACACACAAAUAAUAUCUGUAAAAAGAAAUAGUUAGGCGCACAGAUAUAAAAUGAUAUUGGAGCAGCUUAUGCACAGCAUCAAGCAGCCUGUUGUGGCAAAGCGCGCUAAUGCUUGAAUAUUCUUCCAUUACUGAAGGAGAGAGGGCUAUUUAUAUAAUGCUUAGCAUAAUACAUACCUUGGAAGAACAUCAAUAUCACUCUGCAAGCUGUUGACUCUGCAAGUCCACCCUUCAUUUUCUCAAUAAGUUCUUCGCACUUCCAAAAGAGUUUCCUCCCUCUAGGGUCUUCACUUCCUCGGAAGAUUCUACUAACAAAAUCAAGUUCCCUUGUUAAAGCCUCUCGUUCCCAUGCUGGUGCACAGUGUUGGAAAACAUCUUUCACCCACCCCAAGAGCUCAGAUGUUCGAUUGCAAGCUCGGCAACGGAAAAGCAUUUCAGUUGGGCCACCUCCACUCUUAACGGAUGGGCCCAUACAAAUUUGUCCAUCACGAAUAGCACAAUCUGUGUGAGUCCAAUGAGAACACAAAUCGCAACCAAUCCAACGGCAUGUAUUCACUUCAAAAUCAAACUUGUUACAGAUCACACACAUGCAGAGAUUGCAGAAACCGCUUUUGUUGGCACAUAUUUCACAGGUACAGUCAUCAGCUGGAAGCUGGUUUUGGCAUGCUAUAUUUCUGCAUCUCUUAAACACAAAGACCUCAAUCAGGGAAGUUUGGGAGAGACUAAUACUUGGAUGCAAAAAUGCCUGAAUUCCAGUGUUUAUUGCAACAAGUAUUUCUAGCUGUACUCGGUGUGCUCUAAUCAAAGUCUUUGCUGUCAAAUCAGACCUAUUAUGAACAAGCUUCUGCAAAAUCAAAAAUUCCUCUCUGUGCUGUGAACCACCACUUCCUUCAAGCAUAACCCGAAGACCAUUCUUUAGCUCAUCGAGAAAGUUGUCAGGUAAAUGUUGCAUCUUUUCAGAGAUAAUGUCAACUCGUUCCCCAGCUAUGUCACGAAAAGAUAUCUUAUCUGCACCUGAGACACGACGAAUGAUGGACUGUCCAGGGAAAUCAUUAUCCGCCUUGUCAUUCUCCAUCUUCUUUUUCAUCAUGGCAUCAACAGUAGGCCAAGUUUCUUGUGAACUAGCACUUUCUGCAGGAGAUUCACGAAUAUUAUCAGAAUUUGAUCUUGGUUCCUGUGCAUCAGGGGACAAGUGAAGAUCUGAAGACACCAAGGACAGUGAUGUUUGUAGUCCAGCUGCACAUGGUUGCUGUCGUGGAGGAAGCAUUUUUUAUGAAGGGUGGUGAAUGUUAAGAGCCAGAUGAUGUGUGCCCAUCAAUUAGUCGUUUCUUCCUGUCAUUGUCAUAAGGAGCUGUAACACAUCAUCCAUCCAUCACCACCUUCUUUUAUUAUGACUAUCAAUAAAAAUCAAGCUAUGGAAAUGUGAAAAGAAGUAAUAAUAAUAAUUAAGAAAAAAAAACAUCGCCCAAGUAUGAAAAAAGAGUUCUUCUGUCUAGUACAUUUCUGAUCAAAAUAAUAUGUAAUGAUCCCCUUUUUUACAAGAACUCCGUUUUGCUUAUAAAAUAGGAUUAACUAUGAUUUCCAGAGGGUAUUCAUAUGAUACAUAUAUAUAGCAAGAUUAAUAGAUAGAGUAGAUCAGUACUCAGCUAAACCAGAACAAAGCCACACACACCAUUUUUUUUUUAAAAGAAAAAAUUAAACAUCAUUAACCAAUCAGACUAAUUAUUUAAAGAAAAAGAAAAAAAAUUAAAAAAAAAAACCAAAGUUGUAACAAGCAAAAAGUUGAUCAGAGAAAAGGAGAUACUAAGAAGAGUUGAUCUGUUUGGUUACUAAGAAAGUUACAGAAGUCAAACCAAAUUUUCUAAGAAAGUUACCAAAUCUCACCUCUCGAAGAUAUUUUUUAAGAUAAAAAUUGACAGUCAAUAAGAAAACAUAACCUAGGUUUUAAUUCACUGCAAAAAAAAAAAAUCUAUCUAUUCAACACUUAAACCAAAAACAAUAAGAAAAAGCCAAACGUUUCCUCUAUCUGUUUUCUCAGCAACCAAACAGAAACUAAUGAUAAAUGGAGAGGGAGAGGGAGAGAGAGUACUGACCUGAAGAAACGAUGGCAAAUGGAUCGAUAAAGGAAGAGAAAAGGCAACCACCAUUAAUCAAUUAAGGAUCACAAAGGAGAGCUGAGAGAUAAUUGAAUUGAUUCUUUUACCAUUUUGUCCUCCAGUGUUGAGGCUGCUUGAGCUUGACAAAUGCGAGGCGCUAAUCCCCCGACUUUCUACGCAGGGACAAGACCGGACAAUAUGAGAUUAUCUAAAGCCCGUCUUUUAAUUUAUGACCUUUGCUAAUGUCACUGUUUGUGCCUUUGUGGGGGCAUUGACUUGCGUCAGACGAUGAUUUACACAGCACUUUUUUUUUUUCUACACUACUCAUCGAAUAAAAAAUAAUAUUUUAAUUAAAAUAUUUUAUAACUGUCUUAAACAGCUAUUUAAAACGUGUUUUAAAACAAAAUUAUUUUUUUAUUUUUUAGAUAAUUUUAAUAUGUUAAUAUUAAAAAUAAUUUUAAAAAAAUAAAAAAAUAUUUUAAUAUAUUUAAAACAAUAAUUGCUAUCCCAUUUUAUAAAAUCUUGAUUAUCAAUGUUAACUAAAUUGAUUAAAAAAAUCAUUUUAUAAUAUUUAAGACGAGAGGGUUUAGAAGGUGAUUGUAUAUAUAUUUUUAAAAUUUUUAAUUUUUUAUAUAUUUUUUGGAUUGUUUUGAUGCAUUAAUUUUAAAAAUAAUUUUUAAAAAAUAUAAAAUAAAUAUUAUUUUAAUAUAUUUUAACAUAAAAAAAAAUAACUACUACUAUAUUUUUAACAAAUAUACGUAAUACUAAUACUGAACCACGAUUUUCAUGAUGGUAGGUAGCUAACAUUAAUAUUUAGGUCAUAGUACAAAAUCAUUUACUCUUCUUCUUUUUCUCAUUUAUUUAUCACGUAACUCAUUUUACAAUUCUAAUUAUCAUUUGACUGCUCACAUGUUACUAUUCGUUAGAAUAGUAAUAUAAAUGCUUUUUUUUUCUAUUUUUAAUAUUAGAUUUAAGAGAAUUAAAUUUUAUUAUUUAUUUUGAUUUUUUUUUAUGUUUUGAAAAAACAUUUCGAUACUGUGCUUAGUUUACAAUUUUUUUUAUUAUAUUAUUAAAUAAAAAUAAUUUAUAAAUUAAAUUUCAUGAUUUACUUCGAUUUUUUUUAGUUAAAGUUAUCACGAUCUUAAAAAAAACAUAAUAGCAUUGUGUUAGUGUUUGGUUUUUUUAAUAUCUAUUUUUUUUAUCAUAUUAUUAAAUAAAAAAAAUAAUUCUAAAUAAAACUUAAUAUUGGGUAUUAGAUUUCAAAAUUUAUUUUAAUUUAUUUUUUAUAAAAUUACUGUGAUCUCAAGAAAAUCUUAAUAUUUAGUUAAUAAUUAAAAAUUUGAUAUAUUAAUUUAAAUUAACCGGGUUGAUUAAAUAAGUUUUCAUCUCAAUAAAUUGAAAUCCAGUAAUAUAAACUUUCAUUGAAAAGGGAAAAGAAACAGAUAAUUUCAUAAUUGAAAUAGCAUUACUUCUCUAUUCUCACUCAUGGACAGGCCCAAAAUCAUGUCAAGUGCAUUUCAUAAUUCACAUUUAAUAUAAAACAUUAAAAAACCUAACAUGAAUCAAUUAAAAACUACACCUACUCAUAAUCUAUUUAGAAUUUGCACAGUAAAUUUAUAGAUAACAUUUAUCCAUGCUAAAUUCAUAAGAGUUAUUAUAAUCGGAUUAUAUUUUUAUUACACAGUAAGAUUAUUAAAUUGCUCUUAAAAGUUAUUUUCAUUUAAUUAUCUUUGAGGGGAAUUUUUUAAUUUUAAUAUUAAUUUUAAAAUUGGAUUAACUAAAUUGCUCCUAAAUUUAAAUUCCCUAAGCCUUGCAUCCAAGGGUGUUUUUUCAAUGUUUGUAAUCAAAGAAGGAACUAACUCUGCCCUCAACUUUCACUCUCGUCUUAAACAAGUAUUCAAAAAAAAAAAUGCAACUCAAUUGUGGUUACUUUUCAAAUAAUAUUUUGUAUUAAAAUAUAUACCAAUAAUUUUUAUUAUUUUUUAAAAUUUAUUUUUGACAUUACCACAUCAAAAUGAUUUGAAAACACUAAAAAUAUAUUAAUUUAAAAUUAAUAAAAAAAAUUAAAUUUUUUCAAAAACAUUUUUAAUCACACAGAGCAGCUGACAGUCCCUCGAUAACAAUGAAUAUCACUUCAAAAGAAAAAAAUCAACUCAGCAAAGGAGCAGCUGUGACAAGACAUUAACCAGAGCAAUGGACACAAAUUGAGGUUAGCCCUCAACUUCAUCAACGCAAAAAUAGCAACAAGAUCGGAGCUUUACCAGUGAUCGCAGAUGAUAGCCUCGAGCAGCAACCGCAAGGUGCCGGCGAGCCGAACAACGGCGAUGGAGAUGUGUUCUGGUGAGGUCUUUUUUAUGAUGGCGCGAGGGGUGGUCUGUAGAGAAGGAGGCAGCGUUGAUGUCGACGUUAACGUUUGAGUUAGCUGGUGGUGGAGUCUUUUAUCAAUCUAAUACCUCAUUUUUUUUCUAAUUAAAUUAUAAAACAAAUAUGAUAUCUUAAUUUUCAAUUGGGUUUUUCCAACUGUUUUGAAUAUUUUGAAAAUAUAAAAGUAGUCAUACGAAUAUUAGCUAAUAUUAAUUUAAUAGUAAUUGAAUUUAAUAUUUUAUAAUAAACAUUCCAUAUGAAUUUUCAUUUUUGAUAUAAUGUAUUCACUGUUUAAUACAAUUAAUUUUACAUCCCCUUGUAACAACAAGAAAGGCUGAAUGAGAUUUAUAUUUCCUUGCAACGACAAGAGCUUCUGGAAAGACCCAACCCAUUUAGUAUCAAGAAAUUUGUAUCACAUAACAUCUAAUACAAUUUUACCUACUCAAGCUAGUUAAUUAGAUGUAGCCAAAAAAGCAUAACAAGCAAGAAUAACGACAUCAAUCAUAAAAAAUAAGAUCUUUAAUUCAUCUAAAUGCAGCUGUGCAAACACAUGUAUUAGAGCCGGUUUGUUUCUGUAUUUUAAAAGUAUUUUUAAAAAAAUUUAAAUUUUUUUAUUAAUUUUAAAUUAAUAUAUUUUUAGUGUUUUCAAAUUAUUUUAAUAUAUUGAUGUUAAAAAUAAUUUUUAAAAAAUAAAAAAACAUCAUUAAUAUAUAUUUUAAUAUGAAAAAUUAUUUAAAAAACAAUUAUAAUUACACUACUAAACAAUUUCUAAAUAUUUGUUUGCUUUUGGUGAGAGCCAAGUAGCUUCCAUCUUAAAAUUCCUCUCAGCAAUGACUACUUAAGCAAGAAUCUCAAGCUCAACAAAAACUUCUUUGUAUCUACAAAUAUUCUUAAAAAAUCAUCUUGUUUUAAGAUAAAGACAUCAAUGCCACAAAAGUUGAAAUACAGCGUGUACCUACUUUUUGUAGGUUACCCGGUUACAGACAAGACUAUUUAUCACCAAUAAAACCCAAUAUCAAAAUCAACACUCUUUCCCAUGUAAACAAUUGAAUUAACAAGCUGAUUUUGUAAUGCUCUCUUUAAAAAAUUAGAACAUUAUCAAUUAUACAACACCCUAAAUCAAUCCUUACAAAAAAAAUUAAUUUUGACACUAAGGGAUGUGUCCUGGUAGUCCUUUCCACUGCACAUGAUUCAAAUUUUAUUAUGUAUGCCUGUCAUCCUUAUAAUACCUUAUAUAUUUAUUGGAUUUACAAGAUAUUCAUAAAUCCCGAGAAUUAAUUAUGGUAUACUCCGGGUUGCCAAAAAAAAAAUUAAUUUUCUUUCCUCUAGAUAAGGUUGAAAUGAAACCCUUUAAGUCACUGGCUACAUCAAUUUCAAAAACCGAAGAAAGAAAAUCAAAAGAAGCAGCUAAAUCCAAGCAGUGAGCAAAAAUAUGAAGCAAACCCGUCUUAGAGGAGACAAAACUCAUCAAACAUACAAAACUCAAUCAGUAGAAGCAAGGUGAGAGAGAGGCUGACGAUAGAGUAGCUGCGAAGUGAGGGAGGGAGUGAUUGGUUUUUAUUUUGGAAUUUCGCUCUUCCCUUCCAGUUCCGGCUAGAUAGAGCUGAAGUGGUCGGGCACAUACAACUCCAUCAGUAGAAAUUGUUAUAGGACCGGCCCGGAUAAUGAUCCAGCCCAAACAUCAUGUCACGGGCUAAGCAAGUGGGUUAAACUGUGUUUAUUGUUUUUUUUUUUUUUCAAACAACAUGAUUUUAUAAAAAGAAAUUAUGUAAGAAGAAAAAAACCCAAAUGAUUUUGUUUUUUAUUUGAAUAAAAAAAUUAAAAACCCUUCAAACCUUAAUUUCACUAGAUCAUAUAAGUCACAAAUUAAUAGAUAAAAGGGGUGUUAGAGAGUGUGGUAGUAGUUGUUUUUUAAAGUGUUUUUCGCUUAUAAAUACAUCAAAAUAAUAUAUAUUUUUUAUUUUUUAAAAAAUUAUUUUGACACUAGCAUAUCUUAAAAUAUGUAUAAAAAAAAUAAUUUCAAAUGUAAUAAAACUAUAGUAUAAACCAAAGUCACCUAAGUUUGAUUGAUCAUUUCUAUAAAUAAUUUACUUUUGAGACCACAUAUAUAAACUAUAAAAUACACAAGACAAUGUCUUAUUUGUUGCUUGAACUUUUUUUUUUUAAAAGAAAAUAUUAUGUUUUUUUUAUGUUUUUUAAAUGUUUUUUAAUAGUUGUGAUAAUAUUAAAAAUAAAAAAGACAAUGUUUUAUUUUUUCUUUAAAUUUUUUUUUUUAAAAGAAAAUAUUAUGUUUUUUAAAUGUUUUUUAAAUGUUUUUUAAUAGUUGUGAUAAUAUUAAAAAUAAAUAAAUUUUAAUAUAAAAAAUAUCAUUUCAAAAAAUAUUAUACAUAUUAUUACCGAAUAAACAUGAGUUAAACUACAUUAGAAUGACACAAGCUCAGAAAUGAAAUUGGGCUUCUUUUUUUAACGGGAUAAGCAAUCCCCAACCCAUGGAGUUUUGCGAGAAAUAGCUAAACUUGUCUAGGUUUCAACUGGUUGGUCUUCUUCUUCUGUUUUUCUUGCUCUUCAGAGAGUUAUCAUCUUUAUUUUUUGAUGAAAGAAAAACCUUUAAUAAAAGUAUGGAACUUAAUUGUAAUAAAAGUAUAUUUCAUUCUUUAACUUCCUGCAUUCAAAGAUGUGAAUGCCAUUACCGAGCUCUCUUUUUUCUAAUCAUAUUGAUGUGAUUUUUUUAAUCAUUUAUUAAUAAAUUUGAGAAGCUAAUCAAUGCGACUAGAUUAAGUUGAAAGGUAUUUAUUGUUAUGAUUUUCUCUUGAAUGCAAAUUAUUUUUAUUUAUGUUAAUACGCCCGAAACAAGGCGAACCGUGAAGAAAUGAAAAAACUCCAGAAUCAAUCACGAGAAAAGAACCUAAAACUAUGCUAUUUGCUUAGAAGUCGGAACAUUUUUAGCAGCUUCUCCCGUAUAAACUGAUGCCUCAAAUCUGUAACAUCGUACACAAAAACAUGCUAACUGGAAAACUUUGAAGCAUCUGAAGAUGGAAACUCAAGACAUGUGAAGAUGUGCAUGUAAUUUAUGAGGUUUACAAGACAUAUUGCUAUCCUCAGUCCUCACGCCACAUCCUACCACACUUCUCAUUCAAGCAGAAGUAAAAUGUUGUUGCUGGCUCAUCAGCUGAUCUAAUUUGUAUCUGCUGGAAACAAGCUCUUCCGAAGUUGCAAUGAGGACAUGUUGCUGCAAUCAAGAAAGAAGGGAAAUUAGACAAAAAAAAUACAAAGAUUGAGAAAGAACACCAAGAAAAAAAAAAAUUCUGAGUUAGCCUUCAUCUAAAUUGCUAAAAUUGAAUUCUUUCUACACCAAUAACUGAAUUCCUCGUUUACCAUACUAAGUUAAAACUUUAGGAAUCAUUCGAAACUGUGGAAAUCGAACAUCAUGAUUUAGUCUUAUCUUGGCGAAAUAUGGACAGUAUUUCUCUCAUUGCAUUGUUAACAGGUACUGCUUAAUCUUAUAAACUCAACUCAACCCUUGCACAACCUAUAUUAAUUUUGGGAACUUGGUACCAAGCUAGUUACUUCAUUCUAAUUCAAUUCAAAAAACCCAAAACUAUUAUAAGAAAAUGCAGAAACAAAAGGAGGUAAGCAACUUAAACAAUAUCAAAGUUUUUAAAGUGGCAAAAUAUUAUAAAAAAUUCCUCCAUUCCACAACAACAGAUAAUACCAAUAACAUAAAAAGACAAAAGACAAAGAAAAGCACCAUCAGUUUCAGCACCGCCUGUCUUCAUGUCCUCGAGGGUGAAAAUAGGUUCAAUUUCUUUCUUAGCAAGCUUUUGCUUUCUCUUUAUCUUAACCUAAUCACAACAUAGCAGUUAGUCACAUCAUUCAAUCAAAAAUACAAACCUAGAAAAUAAAGAGGCCAAAUUAAUUUAUACUAAUUAAUAAUUUACCCUGCUCUCAAUCGAAGCAAAAUAGGGACAGGUAGGGCAAUAAAAUCUAGCUACUUGCCCCAUAUUUGGCGGCUCAUAUCGCAAUAGCAUCCCACAUGUUGGGCAAAAUUCCAUUUCUUUCUUCCUCGUUCUCUGAUACCCUAAUUUGACUUCUUUCUCCUAUUUUAGAAAAGUCAGAACCUUCAGGCCUGAAAACAAAACAAACAAAUAUCAACUUAGAAAAAUCUAAUUUCAAACACUUCUCAGUAACUAUGAAAAUUUCCAAAAGUAAAUGUAUUUAGGAUUAAGAUAAUAAACUAGCGUAUUACAGUAAAAUAGUAGCAUGGCAUGGCUUCUAGCAUACUUUUUCUAACUAAUUAGUUUUUUUAUAGUUAUCAACACAUGCUACUAAUUAAACCAUGAAUCCAACCCAAGGUCUAAAUCAACAAUCUUCAUUCAAACAUAGAAGAAAAAACAAUUGAACCAACAAGUUGAUUACACUUGAACAACCCACUAUCUCGUUCAAAAAAAUUCAAAACUUUCAAAACCCAGUAGUUACAAUUCAAGCUUAAAAACAAACAUCAACUUUAUAAAUACCUAAAUUUUAACCUUCCCUUUAAUGGGCCAACAACAAUCUCAUAAAUCUAGUAACUUUCUAAUAUAUAAAGGUGAAACAAGUACACUUCAAAGCUCAAAAACUGCCUAUAUCAAUGCUUGUAAUCAAUAAAAUAAGCACUUGAAAUCAAUGCUUGUGGAUAAAAAUGAACACCAUCUACAGCGGAACCGAAGUCUCUCAAGUAUAGUUCCGAGAACCAGUCCAUUCAUCAAAUCUCAAAUCAAUGUUUAUAAUCAAAGAAGGAACUAAUUCUGCCCUCAACUUUCACUCUUGUUCCAAAAUAGUAUUAAAAAAAACACGCAAUUGAGGUAACAAUGAAUAUCACUUCAAAAGAAAAAAAUCAACUCAGCCAAGGAGCAGCCGUGACAAGACAUUGACCAGAGCAAUGGACACAAAUUGAGGUUAGCCCUCAACUUCAUCAACGCAAAAACAGCAACAAGAUUGGAGCUUUACCAGUGAUCGCAGAUGAUGGCCUCGAGCAACAACUGCAAGGUGCUGGUGGGCCGAACAACAGCAAUGGAGAUGUGUUCUGGUGGGGUCUUUUUUAUGAUGGAGAGAGGGGUGGUCUGUAGGGGAGGAGGCAGCGCUGUUAGUUUUUGUGUUAGCUGGUGGUGGAGUCUUUUAUCAAUCUAAUACGUCAUGUUUUUUCUAAUUAAAUUAAAAAAGAUAUGGUAUCUUAAUUAAAAAUCAACCGAAAAAACCAAACCAUGAAAAAAAUCAAUUAAACCGAUUAGAAUAUUUAGAAAAAUUUCCAAUUCGGUUUGAUUUCGUAAUACUGAAACUGAUGAACCCCAACCAAACCAAACUGGUUCAGAUUAAAAAAAAAAAAGGUUCUAUAAAUAAUAAAAAAUUACUUUAUAUUCUACGCUACUAACCCUUGUAGCCGUCCUUCACAUAGACACGCCACUCAACCUACACCACACCUCUUCAAUCCUCACCGCCUCCCAUAGCAGACUCACAACUCACAAGUCCACUCCUAAUUCUUCAAUCUUCAUUAAUUUCAAUAUGUAAUCUUCAUCAAUCAUCACCAUAUUCAGCAAACCAACCACCAGCCUCCGGUAAAAAUUGAAGAUAAAAUGACGAGUUAAGAGAAUAACUUAUUAACAACCUUUGGAAUUCCAAAAAAACCAACACCAGCCUCUGAGGCCACUGUAACAACAUUGGGGGAACGCCUAUGACCAGCUUCUCAAUCACCACUACCUUCAACAUCUAAAAGCCACAAAAUCAAACCCAUCUUCAUCACCAGCAGCCCCCGCAACAGUUAUCCUAGGAUCAUUCAAACUUGGAAUCAUACACCAUUACAUAUGAAUCUACAACUUGAAUUUUUAUGUUCAUGUUUACAGGCUUGUUUAAGAACACAUUUCAAAUUCCAAAAAUUAUAUUUUGAGGCUUAAACUGCAUUGCAGAGCCCAAUUAUCUUUUAUGUUUACCAAACAAAUUAAAAAUAGGACUAUUGUCUUGAGGACACAAACCAACUGAGUCUUAAUCACUCUUAGCUGACUCACAUGGGGACCUAAUCCAUUCACAAAAUUUCAAACACAACCAAAAGCUUACUAAUUAUCCCUCACCUCCUAAUCCAAAACAGGCCGUAACACAGAUACAUGUAUAUGCACACACAGACAUACAAAUAACUAAAUGAGUUUGUAGAUCGAAGGGUGAGAGGGAUGAAUAUUAACAUAAAACAAUAAAAAUACAGAGCAUGAAAAACAAACUAGCAUUCAAUUUCAGGUUGUUUAGGCAUGCACUUAUUAAAACCAUUUGCAACAUGAAUUACUUACCAUUCAUUCAUCAAAUUCUCUAAGGAACCUUACUGUGUCAUUUGAUGCAAAGAAAGAAUGGUCCCUUGUAGCUACUUCUUCCCUUAGCAGUCUGAGUGAAAAAUUGAUUUUACAGCAAAUCCUACCAAUAUACAGUUGCUAUAGAAACAGCCAACUUUCAAAGGAUGAACACAACUUUUACAAUUAUCAACCACUAAUACAAAACGCAUCAACUGAACAGGUUCAGCAUGUAUAUUGAACAUGAACACAUAGAUAGACUAGAUCAGUUACUACUCACUCAGCUAAACAAGAACAAAGCCACACACGCGCCAUUUUUUUUUUUUUUAAAAGAAAAAAUUAAACAUCAUUAACCAAUCAGACUAAUUAUUUAAAGAAAAAGAGAAAAAAAACCAAAGUUGUAACAAGCAAAAAGUUGAUCAGAGAAAAGGAGAUACUAAGAAGAGUUGAUCUGUUUGGUUACUAAGAAAGUUACAAAAGUCAAACCAAAUUUUCUAAGAAAGUUACCAAAUCUCACCUCUCGAAGAUAUUUUUUAAGAUAAAAAUUGACAGUCAAUCAGAAAACACAACCUAGGUUUUAAUUCACUGCAAAAAAAAAAAAAUCUAUCUAUUCAACACUUAAACCAAAAACAAUAAGAAAAAGCCAAACGUUUCCUUUAUCUGUUUUCUCAGCAACCAAACAGAAACUAAUGAUAAAUGGAGAGGGAGAGGGAGAGAGAGUACUAACCUGAAGAAACGAUGGCAAAUGGAUCGAUAAAGGAAGAGAAAAGGCAACCACCAUUAAUAAAUUAAGGAUCACAAAGGAGAGCUGAGAGAUAAUUGUCCUCCAGUGUUGAGGCUGCCUUAGCUUGACAAAUGCGAGGCGCUAAUCCCCCGACUUUCUACGCAGGGACAAGACCGGACAAUAUGAGAUUACCUAAAGCCGGUCUUCUAUUUAUGACCUUUGCUAAUAUCACUGUUUGUGCCUUUGUGGGGGCAUUGACUUGUGUCAGACGCUGAUUUACACAGCACUUUUUUUUUUUUUUUCUACACUAGUCAUUGAAUAAAAAAUAAAACAUAAUAUUUUAUAACUGUCUUAAACAGCUAUUUAAAAUAUGGUUUUUUUAUUUUUAUUUUUUUUUAUUUUUAGAUAAUUUUAAUAUAUUGAUAUUAAAAAUAAUUUUUAAAAAAUAAAAAAAUAUUUUAAUAUAUUUAAAACAAUAAUUGCUAUCCCAUUUUAAAAUACUCCCUUAAUUAAUAAUAGCUAUUGCUGUCUUAUUGUAAAGUAUAUAAAAUCUUGAUUAUCAAUGUUAACUAAAUUAAUUAAAAAACAUUAGGCAAAAUUUUUUAUGAAAGUAUUUAAAAACGUGGUUGUACUUGUAAUUUUAAAAGAAUUUAAUUUUUUUUAUUAAAAAUUAAAUUUUUUUAUAUGUUUAAGAUUAUUUUUAUGCGUUAAUCUUAAAAAAAAUAUUAUUUAAUAUAAAAAAUAUUUUAAAAAAUAAUUACAAUUAUAUUAUCAAAAAAAAUUAACAUAAUACCGAACCACGAUUUUCAGGAUGGUGGGUAGCUACAUUAAUAUUUAGGUCAUGGUACAAAAUCAUUCACUCUUCUUCUUUUUCUCAUUUAUUUAUAACGAAACUCAUUAUACAAUUCUAAUUAUCAUUUGACUGCUCACAUGUUACUAUUCGUUAGAAUAGUAAUAUAUAUGCUCUUUUUUUUUCUAUUUUUAAUAUUAGAUUUAUGAGAAUUAAAUUCUAUUAUUUAUUUUGAUUUUUUAUGUCUUGAAAAAACAUUUUUAUAUUAUACUUAGUUUACAAUUAUUUUUUUUAUUAUAUUAUUAAAUAUAGGAUAGUUUAAGAAAAAAAAUUAUUAUGAAUUGAAUUUCAUGAUUUACUUUAUUUAAAGUUAUCACGAUUUUAGAAAAACAUACUGACAUUAAGUUAAUGUUUGGUUUUUUUAACAUCUACUUUUUAUCAUAUUAUUAAAUAAAAAAUAAUUCUAAAUAAAACUUAAUAUUGGGUAUUAGAUUUUAAGAUUAUUUUAAUUUAUUUUUUUAUAGAUUAUUAUGAUCUCAAGAAAAUCUUGAUAUUUAAUUGGUAAUUAAGAAUUUGAUAUAUUAAUUUAAAUUUACCAGGUUGAUUAAAUAAGUUUUAAUCUCAAUAAAUUGAAAUCCAAUGAUAUAAACUUUCACUGAAAAGGGAAAAGAAACAUAUAAUUUCAUAAUUGAAAUAACAUUACUUCUCUAUUCUCACUCAUGAAUAGGACCAAAAUCAUGUCAAGUGCCUUUCGAACCAAGCGUUUCCUCGUAAUCCGCACCUUCAAAUAUACCAUAGAAGAGAAGAUUAAAAUUAGUUGAUAGUUUCUCACAAGGUUUGGAAAAACAAAUACAAAAUCGUUUAGGUAAUUUAGUUUUAGAUUUAUUUUUUAAUGAUUAUAAAUUUAAGUGUUUUUAGAAUUAUUAUAGAUUUAUAUAAUUUUAAGAUUCAUAAAAUUAAUCGAGAUAUACACUAGUUCGAACAUUUAUAUUUAUUAAAAAAAAAAAUCAACUUGUGAAGUUUGUUUUAAAAAACACAAAAAAUUAAUUUAAUUUUUUUUUUAUAUUUCACGAUAGUGACUUCACUCCCUUCAAAGACACAUUUAAUAUAAAACAUUAAAAAAUCUAACAGGAAUCAAUUAAACACUACACGUACUUGUCUUAUAGUCUAUUUAUAAUUUGCACAGUAAAUUUAUAGAUAACAUUUAUCUAUGCUAAAUUCAUAAGAGAUAUUAUAAUCAGCUUAUAUUUUUAUUACACAGUAAGAUUAUUAAAUUGCUCUUAAAAGUUAUCUUCAUUUAAUUAACUUUGAGGGGAAUUUUUUAAUUUUUACUUUAAUUUUAAAAUUGGAUUAACUAAAUUGCCCCUAAUUUUAAAUUCCCUGAGCCUUGCAUCCAAGGGUAUUUUUCCAAUAUUUGUAAUCAAAGAAAAAACUAAUUAUGCUCUCAACUUUCACUCUCGUCCCAAACAAGUAUUCAAAAAAACAUGCAAAUGAGAUAAUAAUGAAUAUCACUUAAAAAAAAAAAAUCAACUCAGCAACAUUAACCAGAGCAAUGGACAAAAAUUGAGGUUAGCCCUCAACUUCAUCAACGCAAAAACAGCAACAAGAUCAGAGCUUUACCAGUGAUCGCAGAUGAUGGCCUCGAGCAGCAACCGCAAGGUGCUGGUGGGCCGAACAACGACGAUGGAGAUGUGUUCUGGUGAGGUCUUUUUUAUGAUGUCGAUGUUAACAUUUGAGUUAGCUGGUGGUAGAGUCUUUUAUCAAUCUAAUACGUCAUGUUUUUUCUAAUUAAAUUAUAAAAAAUUAUGGUAUCUUAAUUUUCAAUUGGGGUUUUCCAAAUGUUAUGAAUAUUUUGAAAAUAUAAAAGUAGUCAUAUGAAUAUUAGUUAAUAUUAAUUUAAUAGUAAUUGAAUUUAAUAUUUUAUAAUAAAAAUUCCACAUGAAUUUUCAUUUUUGAUAUAAUGUAUUCAAUGUUUAAUACAAUUAAUUUUAUAUCGCCUUGUAACAACAAGAAAGGCUGAAUGAUAUUUAUAUUUCCUUGUAACAACAAGAGCCUCUGGAAAGACCCAACUCAUUUAGUAUCAAGAAAUUUGUAUCACGUAACAUCUAAUAUAAUUUUACCUACUCUACCUAGUUAAUUAGUUGUAGCUAAAAAAAGCAUAACAAAUAAGAAUAACGAUAAUAAUCAUAAAAAAUAAGAUAUUUAAUUUAUAUAAAGCUUGUUUAUUUCUACGUUUCAAAAAUAUUUUUGAAUUUUUUUUAUUAAUUUUAAAUUAAUAUAUUUUUAAUGUUUUUAGAUCAUUUUAAUGUGCUAAUAUCAAAAAUAAUAUUUUAAAAAUAAAAAAAUAUUAUUAACAUAUAUUUUAACACAAAUUUAUUUAAAAAACAACAACAACCAAACAAACUUAAACAUUCGUUUGCUUUUGACAAGAGCCAAGUAGCUUCCAUCCUAAAAUUCCUCUCAGCAAUGACUACUUCAAGCAAGAAUCUCAAGCUCAACAAAAACUUUUUUGUAACUACAAAUAUUCUUAAAAAAUCAAUCUUUGUUUUAAGAUUAAGACAACAAUGCCAUAAAAAUUGAAGUACAGCGUGUACCUACUUUUCGUUAGUUACUAGGUUACAGACAAGACAACUUAUCACCAAUAAAACCCAAUACCAAAAUCAACACUCUUCCCCAUAUAAACGAUUGAAUUAACAAGUUGAUUUUGUAAUCCUAUCUUUAAAAAAUCAAAACAUUUUUAAUUAUACAGCACCCUUGUUGUAAUCCAUUUUUGGAUCCCCACAUAUAAAAUAAUAAAAUACAAAAAAAUUCAUCAAAAUACAUUAUAAAAAAAUAUAUAACAGUGAAAAAAAUGUCAAAGCGCCCUAAAAAUGCUCAAAAAUUGAUUGAGGACGUUCAGAAAUCAAAAAUUAAUUUUUGAUAGUAUAUCAUUGACUGAUGAGAGCCCUGAUGAUAAAGAAAAUUCAAUUUGUGGAAGAAAAAUGCAAAAUCAGAAGUUUAUGGACUCAAUUAAAUUUUAUUAAAGGUUUAAUUGCAUUUAUGAAGAUUUUAAUUGCAAGAAAAAUUGAUUUUGGAGUUAAUUUGGGCUUUCAUUAGGAGAAAUUAAUUUUCUGGGGUCAAAUUAUAAUUUUUGGAAGUUAAUUUGGUCAAAUCAGGGGCUUAAUUGCAUAAAUAUUGAAGUUUAUGGCCAAUUAGGGACUUAAUUGAAGAAAUCCGAGACCAAGGACUAAAUUGUAAAACUCGCGCAAAUAGAGGGCCGAAAUUUGAAUCUGUCGAGUUUUGGCGCCUUUUCUUUUUAAAUGAAACGGCGCCGUUUCAUUCACUGUUGCAAAAAAAAAAAAAAAAACAGAAGCCCAAAACGGUGCCGUUUUGACGGCACUGUAGCUCUUCUUCUUCCCCUGGACACGCGAGGCAGGGGAAGAAGAAGAUUUUUUCUUCCCCUUUUCGCCUAAUUUCUUUCCCGUUUUUUUGCAAAAAGACGCCGACUUGCCGACCACUUUCCACAUGUUGGACGGGCGGCAGCACACGGCCACCACCAUGACGUCCUCCCCUGUUUUUUGCCUAUAAAAACAGGGGAGAAAGAAGAAAAACAGAAAGAAGGGAGAAGAGGAGGGGAGAGAAGGAGAGAGAGAGAGAGAGAGAGAAAAAAAAAAAAAAAAAAGAGAGAGAAGAAGAGAAACAGGGACCGUGGCACUCGCCAUCCGCUGCAGCACCGCCUCGACGCCACCGCAGGUAACCCCGUUGCCUCGUCUCCUUCUCCUUUUGCUGCUGCCUUCUCUCUUUUAUUUUCAUGCAGAACGUGAAUUAAUUCACGUUCUGCAACUGCUGAGAGGCUGGUUACUGUGCUUAUGCACAGUAACCAGCCCAUUUAGUCUUGGGCCGGUUUGGCCCAGCCCACUGAUAUGGGCCGGACCCGGCCCAUUUCAAUAUUUUUUUUAGAAGUUUUUUACAAUUUUUCCGGCACAUUUUUUUAUCAAUUUUGCUUAAUAUCGAUAUGUAUUUUACAUCGUAAAAAUAUAAAUUCGGUAUUAAAAUACCCGGUUUUCGUCCCGCGGUACUGUUCACACAACAUAAAAAAUCAAAAAUAUUUGUUUCGGCAUUUUAUAAUUUUUCCGCGUCGUUGCAGUAUUUUUACAUCGUAAAAAUAUAAAUCCGGUAUUAAAACACUCGGUUUUCGGCAAAAACUUCCAAAAAUAAAAAAUUGAAAAAUGAUAAAAAAAAAUGUUUUUAUGCAUACGGCCAAGUGUCUCAAAUCUAAAAUAUCAUAUCGUAUUUUUCAUAUGUCAAAAAACAAUAUUUUAGCAUGCAUUUUGGCUUUAAUAACCAGUUUAUUAAAGUCAAGAGAACAUUGGCCAAAAUCUCAAAAACAACAAAAUAUUUUAUUUUGUUUGAUUUUAGUAUCAGAGAUUAUGAAUUUAUACUUAAAUCGUAUUCCUGAUAUUAAAAUAAUAUUUUUUUUGACGACUUCGAAUAGUUAGUUUUUUUACCUGAUAAAGAUAAGGAUCUCCUUACAGAGGAGGACUUUUCUUAAACCGUAAACGAACCAACAAUUCACAAAAACCACAACACGAUUUUAGAUUUUAUCAGACAUUAAAACAAUGCAGCCUACCUUAGGUAGGGCGUAGUUGGGGUGCUAAUACCUUCCCUUUACGCAACCAGUCUCCGUACCCGAUCUCUAAAGACCAGUUAAGGUUCUUAGUAACCAGAAUACUAGGUGGCGACUCCCAGUCCAUAUUUUCACUUGUAGAGACAAGAAUUCCUUGUCUCUCCACACAUUUUCCAGGAAUAAAUAUUUCGAUUUUUCUUUGAGGGUGGACGAUCGCCGCGCCGCCGCACACGUGCGACAACCCUAAAUCAAUCCUUACAAAAAAAUUAAUUUCCUUUCCUCUAGAAAAGGUUGAAAUGAAACCCAUCAAGUCACUGGCUACAUCAAUUUCAGAAAUCGAAGAAAGAAAAUCAAAAGAAGCAACUAAAUCCAAGCAGUGAGCAAAAAUAUGAAGCAAACCCGUCUUAGAGGAGACAAAACUCAUGUCAAUAAACUCAUCAAACAUACAAAACUCAAUCAGUAGAAGAAAGGUAAGGCUUACGAUAGAGAAGCUGCAAAGUGAGGGAGUGAGUGAUUGGUUUUUAUUUUGCAAUUUCACUCUUCCCUUCCAGUUCCGGCUAGAUAGAGCUGAAGUGGUCAGGCACGUACAACUCCACCAGUAGAAAUUGUUAUAGGACCAACCCGGAUAAUGAUCCAGCCCAAACAUCAUGUCACGGGCUAAGCAAGUGGGUUAAACUGUGUUUAUUGUUUUUCCCCCCCAAACAACGUGAUUUUAUAAAAAGAAAUUAUGUAAGAAAAAAAAACCAAACGAUUUUGUUUUUGAUUUGAAUAAAACAAUUAAAACCACUUCAAACCUUAAUUUUACUAGAUCAUAUAAGUCACAAAUUAAUAGAUAAAAGGGGUGCUAUGGAGUGUGGUAAUAAUUGUUUUUUAAAGUGUUUUUCGCUCAUAAAUACAUCAAAAUAAUAUUUUUUAUUUUAAAAAAAUUAUUUUUGACACUAACAUAUCUUAAAAUAUAUAUAUAUAUAUAUAUAUAUAUAUAUAUAAUAUUUCCAAAAUUUAAUGAAACUCUAAUGUAAACCAAAGUCUUUUUUGAUCAUUUCUAUAAAUAAUUUACUUUUGAAACCACAGGUAUAAACUAUAAAAUACACAAGACAAUGUCUUAUUUAUUGCUUGAACUUUUUUUUGAAAGGAAAAUAUUAUGUUUUUUAAUAGUUGUGAUAAUAUUAAAAAUUAAUAAAUUUUAAUAUAUAAAAUAGUAGUUCAAAAAAUAUUAUACAUAUUAUUACCGAACAAACAUAAGCUAGACUGCAUUAGAGUGACACAAGCUUAGAAAUGAAAUUAGGCUCCUUUUUUAAUGGGAUAAGCAGUCCCCAACCCAUGAAAUUUUACAAGAAAUAGCUAAACUUGUCUAGGUUCAACUGGUUGGUCUUCUUCUUCUGUUUUUCUUUUUCCUCAUAGAAUUAUCAUCUUUAUUCUUCUUUAUUCUUUGAUCAUGAGAUAAUGAUUGAAAAGAAAAACCUUUAAUAAAAGUAUAUUUCAUUCUUUAACUCCUUGCAUUCAAAGAUGUGAAUCCCAUUACCAAGCUUUCUCUUUUAUUUUAUCAUAUUGAUGUGAUUAUUAUUUUUUUAUCAUUUAUUAAUAAAAUUGAGAAGCUACUCAAUGUGAUUUGAUUAAGUUGAUAGGUAAUUAUUGUUAUGAUUUUCUCUUGAAUGCAAAUUAUUUUUAUUUAUGUUAAUAAGCCUGAAACAAGACGAACCCUGAAGAAAUGAAAAAACUCCAGAAUCAAUCAAGAGAAAAGAACCUAAAGCUAAGCUAUUUGCUUAGAAGUCGGAACAUUUUUAGCAGCUUCUCUAGUAUAAACUGAUGUCUCAAAUCUAUAACAUUGUACACAAAAACAUGCUAACUGAAAAACUUUGAAGCAUCCGAGGAUGGAAACUCGAGAUAUGUGAAGAUGUGCGUGUAAUUUGUGAGGUUUACAAGACAUAUUGCAGUCCUCAGUCCUCACGCCACAUCCUCCCACAUUUCUCAUUCAAGCAGAAGUAAAAUGUUGUUGCUGGCUCAUCAGCUGAUCUAAUCUGUAUCUGCUGGAAACAUGCCCUUCCAAAGUUGCAAUGGGGACAUGUUGCUGCCACUAAGAAAGAAGGGAAAUCAGACAAAAAAGAUACAAAGAUUGAGAAAGAACACCAAGAAAAAAAAAAAUUCUGAGUUAGCUUUCAUCUGCACUGCUAAAAUUGAAUUCUUUCUACACCAAUAACUGAAUUCUUCGUUUAAUUCCCUCCACACUAAGUAAAAACUUUCAAAGGAUGAACACAACUUUUACAAUUAUCAACCACUAAUACAACACGCAUCAACUGAACAGGUUAUAUGCAAAUUCAUUUAUCACCUUGUGGACAUUAAAACUAGAAGUCUUGUAUUGCAAGAAAGAAUCAAAACCUUAACAUUUGACAAAUCUAAGGAUCAGAGAAAGAGAGGAACAGACAGAUCUUUAGUGUAUAAACCUUUGCAUUUUGUUGGGGGGUUUUAAGAAAAUGGACAGAUCUAGAUCCAAGAGAAACUACUACCAUGACCAUCAAGAUUAUGACAAUGACAACCUCAACAACAACAACAUAACUAGGACGACCAAACCUAGAUACAACAACAACAACAACAAUUAUUACCGUCAUCGUGGACAAUGAGGCAACAACAUGUUCAACAACAACAACAGGUUUUCAAGAACCCAACAACAGCAGCAAGACCAAUCAUCGUCAUUAAUGCGACAACAAGUUACAUAAUUUUAUAUCAUGAUAUGAAAGCAGGAGGAGUAGAGUUGGGAAGUCGGGGAGUAUAAUAAAGUCAAUUAGGCAUUUUAUCGAACUCUUUGCCUACAAUCCAAAUUCAACCCCAAUUUCAUCCAUCAAAACAAAGAAUAACUCAAACCUAUUAUCUAUUUAUCCAAAAGAGGACGAAUAACACAUAAACAGAACCUCAACAAAGACUUUCAUCACUUACCCUCAAAUCUUCAUCAAAAUUGAAGUAAAAACAAGAAACCCGAAUCCAACCCACUGUAAUUUAAAAGAAAUUUCAAAUUUUAAGAUUGAAAAUAGGAAUUUUUGAACUUCACGGGCUGGUACCUUAUGUAAACCAUAGGAAUAAAAUUUACCUUGCCGUCUUUUCUCUAAUGAAGGAGCCCUCUCCUUCUGCUGCAACUUGAAAGAAUAGAGGAGGAUCGCGACAGCUUGCGCAGAAGUAAAAAGAGAAGCCAGGCAGAUGGAGAGGUGGGUUUGUGUUCGGCUAGAAUCUAGAUAAUGUGGGACUUGGGGGUGGCUCAGCUUUUGAGUUUUGAGAUGGAGACAGACGCAGAGCAGAUAAAAUGGAAAGGAAGACGUGGAAAAUAUUAUCUGGGCGGCGGCUUUUUGUGAGGGCAAGGCGUGGUAAACUUCAGUAUUUAACUAUUUAUACCCCUCUUGAUUUUAUAGCCUCAAAGCCAGUGGCCGGAGCUGAUUGGAUCACUUUUAUCCAAUAUUCAUCAGUUACCUGCUCAUGUCAAGCAAGCUACUUCAGAGACUCUUGGAUAUUUGUGCGGGGAAGUCUAAUCUGAUGUUGUAGAUCAAGACCAUGUAAACAAGAUACUUACAGCAGUAGUUCAGGGCAUGAACGCAUCUGAAGGAAACAACGAUGUUAGGCUUGCUGCAACACGAGCACUGUACAAUGCACUUGGAUUUGCUCAGGCAAACUACAGCAAUGAUAUGGAGCUUGAUUAUAUCAUGAGAGUGGUCUGCGAGGCAACUUUGUCCCCAGAAAUGAAGAUAAGACAAGCUGCUUAUGAGUGUCUUGUCUCUAUUUCAUCAACAUACUAUGAGAAAUUGGCUCCUUAUAUUCAGGAUAUCUUUAACAUCACGGCAAAGGCCGUGAGGGAAGAUGAAGAACCUGUAGCCCUUCAAGCAAUUGAAUUCUGGAGUUCAAUAGGUGACGAGGAGAUAGAUAUCUUGGAAGAAUAUGGGGGUGAUUUCACUGGGGAUUCUGAUAUUCCUUGCUUUUACUUUAUUAUGCAGGCUCCCCCUGCUUUGGCCUCAAUGUUGUUGGAGACUCUCCUAAAGCAAGAGGAGGCUCAGGAUCAAGAUGAAGGAGCUUGGAAUAUUGCAAUGGCUGGUGGAACAUGCCUUGGUUUGGUUGCAAGGACUGUGGGAGAUGAUAUUGUGCAGCUUGUUAUGCAAUUCAUUACAAAACCAUAUUGGAGGCAUAGAGAGGCAGCUUCUUGUGCAUUUGGCUCGAUCUUGGAAGGUCCUUCCCCUGAGAAACUAACGCCUCUUGUUAAUGUUGCUUUGAACUUCAAGCUGACUGCUUUGACAAAGGAUCCAAAUAACCAUGUGAAGGAUACAACUGCUUGGACCCUUGGUCGAAUCUUUGAAUUCCUCCAUGGUUCAGCUGUGGAUACACCGAUAAUUACUCAAGCAAAUUGCCAACAAAUUGUCACUGCGCUACUCCAGAGCAUGAAGGACGUUGCCAAUGUAGCAGAGAAGGCAUGCGGUGCCCUGUAUUUCCUUGCCCAGGGUUAUGAAGAGGUGACCCCAUCAUCUCCUCUUACUCCUUACUUCCAGGAAAUUGUCCAGGCACUUCUCACUGUUACCCACGGAGAGGAUGCUGGGGAGUCCCGAUUAAGGACUGCUGCAUAUGAAACGUUGAAUGAGGUGGUGAGAUGCUCGACUGAUGAAACAGCACCAAUGGAGCUGCAACUGGUUCCUGUCAUCAUGACGGAGCUUCACAAUACUCUUGAAGGGCAGAAGCUUCCUUCCGAUGAGAGAGAGAAGCAGGGUGAAUUGCAAGGGCUUCUCUGCGGUUGCUUACAGGUCAUAAUUCAGAAGUUAGGCUCCUCUGAGCCAACUAAGUAGGUGUUCAUGCAAUAUGCAGAUCACAUAGUGGGGCUCUUCCUGAGGGUCUUUGCUAGUAGAAGUGCAACUGUGCACGAGGAGGCCAUGUUAGCCAUAGGAGCUCUUACCUCUGCAACUGGUCCUGAUUUUGCAAAAUACAUGCCAGAGUUUUACAAGUACCUAGAAAUGGGCCUUCAGAAUUUUGAGGAGUACCAAGUCUGUGCUGUGACUGUCGGUGUGGUGGGUGAUAUUUGCAGGGCAUUGGAAGGUAAAAUUUUGCGAUGUUUGACCAAAUAAGAAAGGAGGAAUAAAAAGGUAAAGUAAGUUUAAGUACCGAGACCAAGUAAAAUAAAAUGAAUGAAACAAUGUUUCAUGGAAUGAAACUAAUAGAAAAUUUUCAUGAAAAUAUUGAAAUUUUAUAUUAGGAUCAAUUAAACAUAGGAUUGGUAUCAUGACAUAAUUUAUGGUCAUAAUAAAUUAAUGAGAGUAAAUGAAAUUUUAGAGUUCUUUUAAAAUAAUUGUGAUGCAACUUGAAAGGUGACAAGACUAGAAAACAAACAUGAAAUUUCUUAGACAUAAAAUGAAAAUUGAAUGAAAAUUUAAAAUAAGACCUUUAUAAUAAGGAUCUUGGAUUUGAAAUUAUUUUUAAUUAUUAUGAUGAUAUAAUAGAAGUUGCACAUCCAUUAAUGUCAGUCAGGUGAAAAUAGACUCAAAUAGGUGUCUAACACCUCAAUAGUUAAUAAUCUUUCCAUUAAAAAUCAAUAGUAAAGUGUUAUUUCCUUUGAUAUAAUUACCUUAUGGAAUUCAUAGUGAUUGACAUUUUAUAUGUUGAAGUAAGAAAUUAUGAUGAAAAAAAAAAAAAAGAAAUAAUUGGCAUCUGAGUAAGGUUGUAUUAAUUAAUAUCCAUUUAGGAUUAUCGAAAUUAUUGGCUUCCAAACAUAAAUGCCACAAUGAUUGGCAUUCAAGUAAGGAUCAUCAGAUUGAUUGGUAUUUAUUUGAAAUUACUGAAAUUAUUGGCUUUCAAAAGGAAAUGCUGGAAUAAUUGGAAUCCAAAGAUCACUAAAUUGAUUGGUAUCAAUUUGAGAUUACUUGGAUUAUUGGCUUCCAAACAAGAAUGACACAAUAAUUGACAUCCAAGUAAGGAUUGUUGAAUUGAUUGAUAUCCAUUUAAGAUUACUAGAGUUAAUCCUUACACUUGCGACUAGUUUAUCCUUUUUAAUUAUAAUACCAUCAUUUUGAUCUUUUGAAAAAUACAUAAUUUGUCUUGUUACGGUAACUUAUUUUCUUCAUUUCACAUCAUAGACUGUCACCCUCAAGAAUACACUGCGAUGUCAACAACUACAUGUUCAUUAUUUCCUAUCCAUAAAUCACAACCUUUAUCUUAAGUUAACUACAUUUGUUAAAUCACUUCAACACCCUAAACUUUUUAUUUAUAAUAAUGUUGCUCAAUUUAUAUGUAACGAUCUUAAUUUUUAUAUUAAUUUCUGACUACAUAUCAAGUUAUGAUUGUUAAAAAAAUUAGAAAUUGUUUUGUAGAUUCCUAUCAAAAUAUCAAUAGAGUUUCCCCUAAUAUAUAAUAAUCUCAAAUGUCGACAUCAAUGUAAUUUUCUCAAAUCUAAUUAAUUAAACUAUUACAAUUAAUUAGGAAAACAUGUCUUGGGCUACAUUUAUAUCAGUAGGAGACUUAGUUUUUUUUUUUUAAUCUUACCUUUUUUAGGUUUUAUAUAUAUAUAUAUAUAUAUAUAUAACUAACUUGAAUGCUUUAUAAGCUUACCUGGUUUCGUAGGUAACAAAUGAGAAAAUGCUAUGUUCCUUGCUUCAGGUGCUAGAAGAUAUAUAAUCAGUAAAUAAUUUGAUUUUUUUAAAUUUUUCACAACUUUCAAAAAGUGUUUCCAUCUAAAUUUUUUAGAAAAAUACUUUUCUAGAAACGAAACCAAAUUUUUCUUUGACUAAAAAGUAUUUUUUGUUGACCACUCCCUUAAUAACAAAAAAACAUUAAAAAAUUUAAAAAUUAAUUUUUCAAAAAUUAUUUUCCAAAAAACAUACAUUACCUAACAACUUAUCCACGAUACAAAUCCAACUAAAAAAAAGUAGAUUCAAGCACAAAAGAGUCUCAUGUACAUGAAAUCACAAGUACCGGUGGAGUCCAGAACCAGAAGUUUUCAACAAAAGCACAAGAACUAAUUAGCAAUGUCACAAGCUACAAGGCAACCAUCUGAGUUUCUUCAUUUUCCAGGAACGAAGUUAGUGGCAUAUGCCCAAGCAUUGUUGGCCACUGGAUCGGCAAGGUGAUCCAAAAGGUUCUCAACAGGACCCUUUCCGGUGACAAUGGCCUGAACGAAGAAUCCAAACAUUGAGAACAUUGCGAGGCGGCCGUUCUUGAGUUCCUUCACCUUCAACUCUGCAAAUGCAUCGGGAUCAUCAGCGAGGCCAAGCGGGUCAAAGGCACCGCCGGGAUAAAUGGGGUCAAGUCCUUCGCCAAGUGGCCCUCCACCCACUCUGUACCCUUCAACGAAUCCCAUAAGCACAACCUGGGUAGCCCAGAUGGCGAGGAUGCUCUGAGCAUGGAUGAGGUUGGGGUUGCCAAGGUAAUCAAGGCCACCCUCUGAGAAGAUUUGAGCUCCAGCCUUGAACCAAACUGACUCACCGAACUUGACACCAUUCUUUGCAAGAAUUUCAGGGAAGACACAUCCAAGUGCUCCAAGCAUGGCCCAUCUGCUGUGGAUCACCUCAAGCUCACGGUUCUUGGCAAAUGUCUCAGGAUCUGCAGACAAACCAGCAGUGUCCCAUCCAUAAUCACCAGGGAAUUCACCGGUCAGGUAUGAUGGGGUUUGCUCAGAGAAUGGACCCAAGAACUUUGGGCGGUCUGGGCCAUACCUGUUUUAUAAUCAGUCAUGAGCUCAGCUUUUUAUUGCAAUUACUUGGUUUGAAAUGAAACUAAAAUGUAGAUCUUAGAACAAGCUGUAAAAUGUGGUGGUGAACAUCUUCUUAAGGCUCAGUCUCACAGUCCCCUUUCUUUAAGUUAAGAAUUUCUUGAAGGAAAUUUCCAUACAAGAUUAGAGCUAAGAGAUCAUGCUCUUGGUGACUUGCUUUUUCUCUGAUUGUUAAUUGUUCCAACUUUUCAAACAUCAUAAACCACUGCUCUAAUGACAAUACACUACAAGUCAGAACAGUUCAAGAUCAGAGUCAGUUCACGUAAAGAUAGUUAAUAAUGCCUCUUCCGAAGCCAUUAAUUUGUUACACCAUCCACUAUUCAUAUAAACAUGUCUUGAUGAACAACGUGCUGAUAGUAGAAGCUAGCAUGCUAGUGAAUGUGUAGCUACAAUGCUCGAUGCUGCUAGUGACACUGCUAAACAACUUGGUAGCAAUGGAUGGGAAACCUUCUUCAUCUUUUUCUGUGAAUUUAGAAGGUGGGAAAUCAGAAAACAAAGACAACUUGCUUCCAAUACAGAGUGACUUCUAGGUAUUAGUGAUUUUCUUACUCUCUCUCAAAGUUCAAGAAUAUUUACAGACCUACCGACCUACCUAUAUGAAAAUGACCAAAAUUGAAGGAACUACUUAAGAAAGUAUCAGUGCAUUCAAAGAGAUGCUUUUCUUGAUUUGUAAGAACUAGAAAUAGUAUAAUACUGAUAUUAGUUACUAGCUGGAGACCAGAAACAUCACCAUAUGCUUUGGGGAGCACUUUUCACAGUCCUGCGCAUGGUAACACGACCACCACCAAAGGAACCAACCUUCCGGACAAGAUCAUUUGGUUGCUUCAAGGCGGUCUGGCCAGCAAAUGCAGACUGCUGGAUUGCAGAGGCUGCCAUGACUCUUCUUUGUUAAUGCUGCCUCUAAGUUGCUUGCUCUGCUUUUCUC
rnacentral:lncRNA from 1 species